rnacentral:lncRNA from 1 species
UCGAUGACGGCCUAUUUGCCAGGAAUGAAAUUGGUGGCGAAGGCCCAGGGGUUGUUGUUGACGGGGUCAGCAAGGUGGUCAGCGAGGUUCUCGAGCAGGCCUUUGCCUGUGACGAUGGCCUGUACGAAGAAGCCGAACAUGGAAAACAGCAAGGCGGCCAUUCUUGAGCUCCUUUACCUUGAGCUCGGCGAAUGCCUCUAGGUCAUCAGCCAAGCCGAGUGGGUCGAAGCUACUGCCGGGGUAGAGAGGGUCAACGAUCUCACCAAGCGGGCCACCGGCAACACGGUAUCCCUCAACGGUGCCCAUGAGCACAACCUGGCAAGCCCAUAUGGCCAGGAUGCUCUGCGCAUGGACAAGGCUCGGGUUGCCGAGGUAGUCAAGGCCACCCUCACUGAAGAUCUAGGAGCCGGCCUUGAACCAGACGGCCUCGCCGAACUUCACGCCAUUGUGAGCGAGAAGCUCAGGGAAGACACAACCGAGGGCACCAAGCAUGGCCCAGCGGGAAUGGAUCACCUCCAACUCCCUGUUCUUGGCAAAGGUCUCAAGAUCAGGGUCUCAAGAUCAGCCGAGAGCCCGGCGGUGUCCCACCCGUAGUCACCAGGAAACUCACCGGUCAGGUAGCUCGGGGGCUCGUCAGAGAGCGGGCCGAGGUACAACACGCGGUCAGAGCCGUACCACGGGCUACCCGAGGACACCGGCUUGGCCUUGGCAGCGGUCUUCCGCAUGGUGACCCGGGCCUCGCCGAAGAGAGCUGCCGACGGCAGGUUCUUCACCGUAUUGCCGGCAAAGGCCGAGGAAGAAAGAGACAUGGUGGUGGCCGCCAUUGCACUUGCUUUUAAGACCGGUGGUUGCUGACCUCCGUGCUCUCCAAUAGUAUUGGAUGAGUGUGAAGAACUGGAGAUGGUAUCAGAAGAGAGGAGGAUGGAGCUAGUUAAAGGAGUGAGAAAGAACGGAGGGGAUUGCCCGGUACGGUGCUGGCAAGGGGGAGAGAGCCUGAAAAAUCUGAAGCUGCGUUGCCAUUGGUGCACAGUUGGCGCAGCAAGGGCCUCAUGUGGAUAUACGAUAAAGUUGUGGGUAGGGCUAAGAGGAGUCCCCGUGGAGAUGUGUGAUUGGGCUGAGUUUGAUGAACAAUCGCACAGGGACACAAGUGAUUUGCGCUGCAUAAACUGUCAUAGCUAUUCUGAUCCGCUUUAUUUGCUUCUUAUACAGACUCUGUAAACUUGGCCUGUACUAGCUAACUGACGCCUAAAUGAAAAUGAAAAUACCAGACAGAACGAGUCUUACUGACGUGCCAUCCCACGGUGUUGAUCGUGUCCUGGUCAUGCCGCCAUUGACGCUUGAUUCGUGCCAUCCCACGAAGCAGUCAAAGGCGGCGCACUAAAGCAGCUGACUAACAAGUAGUGACUCAGGCAAGACCGCAAGACACGAACAAACACGUGCCAGAUGCCUGUUUAUUCAGUUACUGAACUUACUGAAGAAAAAUGACACCGACAACAACAUUACGGUGAACAGUACAUUAAGUAUUACUGCUUAUUCAUUAUUGCUUUGUGGUCAUUGUCUUUUGACGUUUUCUGUGGAAUACCUAUUUUUAAUUUCUCUCUUCCUCAUGAUUAGUAUGACGCAAUAAGUUAAUGGAAAUGAUUCAGGGAUAUGAGACUGUAAUUGUUCAAGGAGAUUAUUGGGUUGGUAAUUCAGGAUAUUUUUGAUACGAUGAUUCUUUCCAUUCUUAGUUUGUUUCAUGGUAAACGACCAAUUAGUGAAAGUGACCUCUUAAUGAGGGCCUCGUUUUCAUAUAUACACAUGUCGAAAAGCUGGUGGGUAGAUCUUGUGGUAAUAGACAUGAUCCUCUAGUUUUUAACUCUGAGUUUAUGUAUUCUAUAUCCGACAAUUGGCGGCGUGCUCAGUUUUGUAUGCGAUUGGUAAGCACAUGUCAUUGGUUACAAUAAGUGCAAAACAUACGUCAGAGAGUAUUGUUCUGAUAAAAUACCAAAUGGCUAGAUGCAGAAUAUCAGAGAGUAAAGUGGCCUUCGAAUCAAACAAUCUUUUUCAUGAGAUCCUCGUUGUAUACAUCAUCAUCAUGGUAGUACAAAUCACACCAGCUAUCCACACUUCAUAGUUGCAUGGUCGAUCUCGUUGACUACUUGCCGGGGACGAAGUUGGUGGCGAAGGCCCACGCAUUGUUGUUGACAGGGUCAGCAAGGUGGUCGGCGAGGUUCUCAAGUGGGCCCUUGCCGGUGACAAUGGCCUGUACAAAGAAGCCGAACAUGGAGAACAUGGCGAGACGGCCAUUCUUGAUCUCCUUCACCUUGAGCUCUGCGAAUGCCUCGGGGUCGUCGGCAAGGCCGAGUGGGUCAAAGCUGCCGCCGGGGUAGAGAGGGUCAACGAUCUCGCCGAGCGGGCCACUGGCAACACGGUAUCCCUCGACGGCGCCCAUGAGAACGACCUGGCAGGCCCAAAUGGCGAGGAUGCUCUGGGCAUGGACGAGGCUCGGGUUGCCGAGGUAGUCAAGGCCCCCCCUCAGUGAAGAUCUGAGAGCCGGCCUUGAACCAGACGGCCUCGCCGAACUGAACACCAUUGCGGGCGAGAAGCUCAGGGAAGACGCAACCGAGCGCGCCAAGCAUGGCCCAACGACAGUGGAUCACCUCAAGCUCGCGGUUCUUGGCAAAGGUCUCGGGGUCCGCUGAGAGCCCGGCGGUGUCCCACCCAUAGUCGCCGGGAAACUCACCGGUUAGGUAACUCGGGGGCUCGCCAGAGAGCGGGCCGAGGUACAGCACACGGUCGGAGCCGUACCACGGGCUGCUCGAGGAGAUUGGCUUGGCCUUGGCGGCGGUCUUGCGCAUGGUGCCCCGGCCUCACCGAAGAGAGUCGAUGACGGCAUGUUCUUCACCGUCUUGCCAGCGAAGGCCGAAGAAGAGAGAGACAUGGUAGUGGCUGCCAUUGCGCUAGCUCUUAAAACGGUGGUGGUCGAACUCUAUGCUUCUAAUAGUAUUCUGUGAGUGUGAAGGACUGAAGAUGGAUUCAGAAGGGAGGAGGAGGGAGCUACUUAAAGAAGUGAGAAGAGAAGACAGAGGGAAUUGAUCUGUGCUGGCAAGAGAGACACAGCCUGAGAAAUCUGAUGCCACCAUCUCAUUGGUGCAGCGGCCAUCCGGGUACAGUUGGCGCAGGGACAUCCUCAAGGGGAUGGGAUAUAGUCGUGGGUAGGGCUUGGGGAUUCUGCAUGUGCACUACAAUUUGUUGUACAACUAAUAAGUUAUUGAGUUUAAUCAGUUAUUGAGGAUUCUGCAUGUGCACUUACAAUUUGUUGUACAACUAAUAAGUGUUAAUUUGCUUCCUCCGAAGGUAAUAGUCAAAAGAAGUUUUUUGUUGGUAAACUGAUAGUAAACAUGCUCGAUCAACAUGUAUUGUCCACAUAUGGAGUUAAAAAUGAAUUAGCCAGUCGUGGGGCCAUAAUUUAGCCUUUGCUCAUGUACAUAGUAACUUUAUAUAAUCCGUGCUUUUAUAGUAUUGACCGUGACGGGGUGAAACCAGAUGGCACGAUCCACCUGUAAGAACAAAAGGAUUCGGGUUAAAAGCUUUAGUGGGAUCAUUAGUGACUGAACUUUUGCUAAAUGGGGUCAAAAAAGAAAUCACACUAAAUGAAACCAAAGCUGUAAGAAACAUAAAUUGAGGGGUCAAAAAAUAGAAUUCACUCUUUUAUGAACGUGUGAGGAAAGAAAUUAUUUCAUAAUUAAUGAAAAUAAAAGUCAGCGGAAUGGGGAACAUUGUUACGCGAGGUUAUUGGGUUUGAGUAAUUUAGAUGAUUGUUUUUAAUCUUUGCUUGUAUAAUAAAAACAUCAUUUUUAUUUUGGCGUGCAGAAAAGAUGACAGAUAGAUCUUGUGAUCACAGAUAUGAUGCUCUAAUUGUUGCCUCUGAGUUUCUGUAUUCUAUAUCCGGGAAGCAGCCCCAUGCGUGCCCUGCAAAAUUAGUAUGACUAAGAUUGUUAUUUUUGUAUAUACUUCCUUGUUAAUUGGGAUCUUUCUUAUCGACCAAAUCACCUAAUCCCAUCAAAAUUCUUUUAUGUCCUUUUCAUUGGCCUGGGUAUUUCUAGAUUUUGUAGUUAGUUCUGGAAUAUCCAUCCCUGAAAAAGGAAUGCGGUACACGUCAUUUUUACGGUAAGUUUGUUCACUUCCACGAGAGUAUGUAUUGCUCUGAUAAAACAUUGGGGGACAUCACAAAGUGUCUACUUCAAAAUCUGACAAUCUUUUGUUCAUAAGAUCCUCGUAAUUAAUUUACAUCAUCAUCGUGGUAGUACAAGUGAAACCAGCUACACACACUUGGUCGCGAGCAUAGUCGAUUUGCAUAUACACAUGUGCCUCUCAUUGACACCUUACUUGCCGGGAACGAAGUUGGUGGCAAAGGCCCACGCGUUGUUGUUGACGGGGUCGGCAAGGUGGUCAGCGAGGUUCUCAAGGGGACCCUUGCCGGUGACGAUGGCCUGAACGAAGAAGCCGAACAUGGAGAACAUGGCGAGGCGGCCGUUCUUGAUCUCCUUCACCUUGAGCUCAGCGAACGCCUCAGGGUCGUCAGCCAAGCCAAGGGGGUCGAAGCUGCCGCCGGGGUAGAGAGGGUCGACGAUCUCACCGAGCGGACCACCAGCAACACGGUACCCCUCGACGGCGCCCAUGAGCACGACCUGGCAAGCCCAGAUGGCGAGGAUGCUCUGGGCAUGGACGAGGCUCGGGUUGCCAAGGUAGUCGAGGCCGCCCUCGCUGAAGAUCUGGGAGCCGGCCUUGAACCAGACGGCCUCGCCAAACUUGACGCCGUUGCGGGCAAGCAGCUCGGGGAAGACGCAACCGAGCGCGCCGAGCAUGGCCCACCUGCAGUGGAUCACCUCCAGCUCCCGGUUCUUGGCGAAGGUCUCGGGGUCAGCCGAGAGCCCGGCGGUGUCCCACCCGUAAUCGCCGGGGAACUCACCGGUCAGGUAGCUCGGGGGUUCGCCGGAGAGCGGGCCGAGGUACAACACGCGGUCGGAGCCGUACCACGGGCUGCCUGAGGAGACCGGCUUGGCCUUGGCAACGGUCUUGCGCAUGGUGAUGCGGGCCUCUCCGAGCGCCGGCAGGUUCUUCACCGCCUUCCCGGCGAAGGUCGAGGAGGAGAGGGCCAUGGUGGCGGUCGCCAUUGAUGUACUGCUGUACCGUGCUCUCCUAAGAGUGUGAGGCUGGCUCUGGUGUGCGUGGAGAUGGUUUGAGAUGGGCAGAGGAGGUAGCUAUUUAACGGUGCUCUGUGGGUACAGAGAAGGGAAGAUGAUGAGAGAGAUGGCUAGAAAAAUCUGAAGCUGGGAUGCCAUUGGUGGAGUGGAGAUAUCGGCACAGUUGGCGCAGCGAGAGCCUCAAGCCGGUGGAGAUAGCUCAGACUUGCCAUGUGGAGAGGGGCUAUUGGGUGCCGUUGAUUUUCUCGUGGCUGAGGAUAUUGAUGUCGCUGAUAUUUUUUACUCGGACUGGAAGUUGCUGUUUUAGCCGUCAGAAGCUGUUAAAAAACGGAAACGUCGUGAAGGGGAUUGAUCGCCUCGUCUUGUGUCGUGUAUGUUUAGCAGUUGUUGUUUUCACUGUAUUUUCUUGGUCCUCACCGUAUCGUGCGUGGAUGUCGGUAAGAACCUGUAGAAAUGAAAUUCGUGUGCUUCUGCUUCUGAACCGAAACUGCGUAGUGCCAGCUACUGGAGACUGGGACUGGAGGGUGCAGGCUUGAGACGGCGUCAGUUUUGGGCCUAGUGAAACCACGAGGAGGCAUGCCUCCGCGCUCAAGCAGCCAUGGGCCUCAUUGUACUGGGUUGCGCAGCCUUUCAGAGUGGGCCGGAAGCAGGUAGAGUGCGGCUCGUUAUCUCCAGAUACGCAGCAGCCCGUCGCCCCGUCCUCAAACCGUCUAGUCAAAGGAAAAAAAAAGUCCUCAGAUGAGUCCAUCGUGCAGACAUUGGACUCUAGCUGCUCCCACCGGAUCACCGCAAAACCAAAACGAAAAACCCACGGUACCGAUCGACCUGGGCCUGCGGUACAACCAAAGCCCAAAAAGGAACCCACGGAGCGGAGCCGCCCGGGCCCUGCACGCUAUAGCAAGCAACAUCGUCCGUCCGUUUACUUUCCGAGGCCCACCUUUCCCACAGCUCAGAUCCAAAGGAAUCACACGCGCCCGAGCUCUUGAGAAUUCCAGAUCACGCAAGGGCAGCAAGGCGGCCACCGCACGGCACGGCAGUCGGCAGGCAACGCCCUUCCCGCCGUUCCGUCCGUUGGUUCCCGGGCGGGAACGUGCGCCCCCUCGUGAUCCGGCUUUUGCUUGCCCACACGCACUCCCGAGUACUCCCGGCCCGACUCAAUUAUCUUCGUCGCCUCGCUUGUCCCAUCGCUUCUCUCGCUGUCACAACCCAGUCCCUUCCGGAACGCCAAAACAGUCCAACCAACUUCGUCUUCCAGAGCUCAGCCAGCCAGCCGGCCACCACCAAGCACCAACGCCGCCCGUCCCCGCUGCUACCAUGUCCAUGUCGCUGCGCCUCGCUCUCCCCUCGUCAGCGCCCGUGCUCCCGCCGCGGGUGCCGCUGCCCGCCGGGAAUGCCGCCCGUCGCCCCUCACCCUCCCCGGUCCUCGCCACCGCCGCCGCCGCCUUGCGGACGGGCGCGCUCAGGUGGGUUCCUCUGUCCUCGCCCGGGUUUCGCGCCUGCACUGACGCCCGCGUAAUCGGCCUCGUGCUCAUGGUGAUGCGUGACUGUAUGUAUGCAGGGGAUGCGCUUCGCUGCCGCUGAAGCCGCAGCCGCCGGGCAUGAUGAUCACGGGCGCGGGCGCGGGGCGCCGGGGGUCCGCCGCCGUGUGCCGCGCGUCGUCGGCGUACCUCAGCCCGACCACCAUGCACUGGGUCUCCGCCGCGGCCACCGCGUGAGUGCCCCCCCUCCCUCACUCAAAAGUACUCUGCCUUUUUGGGUUCACCAGCUCGGCAACUGUUCGCUCUUUUGCCUGCGAGGACCGUGGCUAACUGCUAGCAUCCGACUGUAAAAUGCGGGAUCCUCGUUAUAGAUUCUGCGGUCUGUUGAUGUCGCUUGCUCAAAAAUUUCAUGGCACGCUACAGCGACAAUUGGAGUACUACUUACUUUUCUUGAUCAAUGAUCACGCGCUGCUAAUCUUUCUAUAUAGCGAGUAAAAAGGACAUCAUGCGAUGCAAAAAUAUAUGAAUGCAGAGCACCAAGGUAAUCUUUCUUCUGUAGCUGUCGAUGUCGUGACUUGAAAUAGCACCACUACUUGUUUUCUUCUUGAGGAUGAAUAGGCAUGUAAAGUUGAACACAACACAAAGUACUUUCUGCAAACUCAGCUAGUGCUGCUGCCUGGUGAAAAGUUGUGCUGUGCAGUUUAUUUGGGUUUUCAGUGAAGUGAAAUGAUUUAGAUCGCCACGUAAAUACAGUGUUAAACUCCCAGUACCCUUUAAUGAUUUAAUGAUUGUUCUUUUUGCAGGGUGCUCUUGCUUGCUAAAGGCACAGGCAUACACAAAUCUUUCCUCGUGCCCCUGUUUGCUCUUCAAGCACCUAGCAGUGUGGUCUCAUGGAUCAAGUAAGAUGCUGCUAUUUGGUGCAGAGAAUUAUCUAUACCUUUUCCUUCUCUUUGUUUCUCAUUGAUGUUUGUUCGUUUUAAAAUAAGAACACUGUCUUGAGGGCCUACUUAUUCUAUGGCAUCAAUUCCUAAUUUUAGGAGUGACUAUGGACUGUGGACUGCUUUUCUUGCUCUUUUGGUGCGCUUGUUCUUCUCCAUUCCAGGUAGUGUAAAAUAAGAUUCAUCAUAUAAAGGUUCAAGAUGGUGUAGGCUUACAGUUACUUUAUACCUUCAUAUCACUAUCACAGGUGAACUGGAGCUCCCAUUAUCAGCAAUGCUGCUUCUGAACGUUGCUCCUUACCAGAUGAUGAAUCUGAGGUACAUCACAGUAUCACAUUGCACUGUUUGGAAAUAAGAUCUUAGCAUCACUAGAACUAGUGCAUCUGUCAAAAUUGAAUUCUAUGAAAAUAUCACCAUGGCAUUAUUAAUAACUCGUAUUAAUAUAUCGAUGUUCUCAAUGAAACUAACUUGAGUUACCAUCUCGCUAUCAUGUUUCUGUACACUACUGUGUCAUAUGUGAAUAGCAGCAAGUACAUCCAACUGACUAUUCAGGAACCACUCCAUAGAGUAUUUUAGGUUUUCAGUUUAUGUCCUGAUUCUGAAAAUUGUCAUUUACCUUUUUGCUCAUGUGCUCACUUUCCAUGUACAGGGGAACUCAAGGUGGUGCGAUAGUGUCUCUGGCACUAGCAGCGUAUCUUGCCUUUCAGCACUUCACCCGGGCCGGAGGUUUGGGGAGAGCCUUUGAUCAGGGAUCGAUAAUUGCGACCUUGGCCAUCAUCUGCGUCACAGUUAUCAACGUGAUCCUGCUGUUCUGAGUUGGAUCAAGUUGGCAAGAGUUCGCUGCCCCUCAUUGUAGGUGUGGAGGGGGAGCAGGAGGUACUCAGGAGUGCAGAUAAAUAAAACCUUGUAAUGCAUCAUCCUGACAGACUUCCAAGCCCGUUUCAUCGUAAUAAGAAUCUUUACUGCUACUUAACUUGCAGUUGCGUCCGUGGUGGCUCGUACGUCGUCCCAACUUCACAGAAAUUACGUCUCUAUGCCACCGUCCGAACUCCGAUUUGUUUCUUCUCUUUCGUGUUCUCGUGUCUCGCCCAGCCCGCUGCCCACGCGCCACCGCUCCUCCUGCCCUGCGCGCCGCUGCCACCACCCACCUGCCUCUCCUCGCGCUCCUCCUCUGCUCGCACCGCCACCGCCCCGAUCUCUCUCUGCCAGCGUUGUCUCCUCCUCCUCCUCGCACACACCCGCCCAGAUCCACCUCCACCUCCUCGCACACGGCCCGCCCUGAUCCACCUUCUCCUCGCGCGAGGCCGAGGAGCGCGAGGAGGAGGCCGAGAUGCGCGCCGAGGCUGCCGCCCGCCAGGCCGAGAUCCGCCUCCUCCUCAUUGUGCUGCCGCCGUGGGAGAGCCGUCCUCCGCCGCGCCGCGUCCCCGUGACGCCACCUGCUCUCCCCCUUCUCAACGCAUCGAGUGCCCGAUGCCGCCAGCCGAGGCAAGGGUGCUCGAGACGUCCGCGAUGACUGCUUCGAAGUGGGAGGCAUCAAUAUUGUGUGGUAAGGUGAGUUCUCGAUUACUGCUUCCCCAUCCUCUUGUGUAGAAAAAUCUUUGUUUCACUAUUCUUUGAUAAGUAUGUGUGAGUGUGUCUUAAUGGUUUCUUCUGUUGGCUCUUUGUAGACUCUAGCUCUUUGUAAUCUUUUGUGCUUUAUGGAAUCCAGUAGAAAAAUCGGCAUUAGGCUGAUUUUAACUGAUAUUUCAAUCUCUUUCAUGCCUUUUAUGUUUGUAUUUUCCUGAUUACUAAUGGUUCACUAGCGUCAAUUCCAUCCGGUUAUUUAAUCAAACAAUAGCAUCUGUAUCAUUGUUUUCUCUUUCACUUUUGCUUGUUUUAUUAGUCUGUCCUAUAUGUGCUAAUGCUAGAGCUUGAAGUCUCUGCUACUGGAUAUUGGCAUUGAAAGAGCAACAGGAAUUGUCUGGUCUAUCACUGGAGGCAAUGAUAUAACUUUGGUGGAGGUAUUCCUGACGUGUGUGUUUUUUCUGCAUAUAAACUACAGUGUGUGUGGGUAUACAUAGCUACCAUCAAAGUUUGUUUCCUACAUGUUAGUGAGAAUCGAAAAUUGCUGGCUUUCAUAGCUCCCUGAAAGUUAAUACAUUUUGAUCCAAUUGGAUAUAUGUGUGAAGUUAUAUGUGAACUGAAUCCAGUAUUAUUGAUUCACUUUCAGGUGAAUGCAUCAGCUGAAGUUAUAUAUGAUCUUGUUUUUCUUUUUUGAGGGAUUAUAUAUGAUCUUGUUGAUCCUAUUACAAAUAUGAUAUUUGGCUCUGUUUUAGACCCAUCAUAUGCUGGUCAAGUAAGUUAACAAAGCAUUUGGUCAAGUAAGUUGACUUGUCAUAUGAAAUCUCAUCUUUUGACUGUACAGCCUGAACUUCUAAUACAACGGCAUCCAUGCGGGGAAGAUGAAUAUGUGAAGUCAGUGGCCGAGUUAAUUGAGAAGGAGCUAUCAAUUUUUACAAAUUCUGAAGAGGUCUGUGCAUUCCCUUCUCCCUCUUUUUGUUUUUCCUUUACUAUUUUUUGUUCAUCAAAUGACUUUCUAUUCGAUUUUUGGUAAAGUAGAAGGUAACAACUGUUGUAGAUUGAACAUUAUCUUAGUGUUAGGCAUCCUGUUGAAUAUCUCUUAAAUAAGUAUCCCAUCUACUGAAUGAUCUAUCUGCGGUCCGUCCUGGCAUUCAUUUGCUUGUCUCCUUUUGUGAUGAUGCAGCGAAUUGAGGAAUCAACAGAUGAUUUUUUUCUGUAUUACAUUUAGUUGCUCUUUGCAUGAUUCCUUUUUUUUACCAGCUUUGCAUGAUUCUUUUGGCAUGGAUGUUGACUGGGAGAUGAAAAAUAUACUUCAUCCAGGUUGAAAAGACAAACAUGGUUCUCCUACUGUGCUCCGUUUUCCAUAUUGUCGUAAUAACACCAAUAUACUGAUAACUAAACCCACUAGAGAGAAAUGUUUAUUAUAAAUGUUUUAAGUUUAAUUCGCUAAACAAUCUGAAAAUUAUGUACAAUCUGUAUAAGUUGAGAUAUAUUAGAAUAGUUUGAUGAGCUAUCAUAACGAUCCAUCUUAAUUAGGACCAAGACUUUAGCUGGUUACCUAGGUUACCUGUAGUCAAAAUUGUUUAAGGCAAAUUGUAUCAAGGUUUGAUGGUUAGAUUGACACUCCAAUUGUUUCUGUUCAUAGAUCUAUCAUCUACAAAUACUUCUUGUGUUGCAGGUUAUGAGCUAUGGCAAUCUUCGUAGAGUUCAAAUGUUGUGGUUCGAUACAGAACAGAAAAAAGAAGUCUCUUUUCCUCUCAAGAUGAGAGUAAGUAUCGGCAAAAAAUAAUAAUCUCUUCGUAGCGAUGCAAUUUCUUAUCACUCAGUCAUGAUGCAUAUAAGAGUAAGGGGAAUGGGCUGAUUUUGUGUAUAUUCUACAUUUUACUUUUCAGUAGUAAUUAGAUGAUUUAUGAUUUUCUUACAUCUCUCAAGGGAAGAUGUUGAGGGAGACCAUAAGGACACUACACAUUAUGUUGCGAAGAUAAUAUUGCUUUCCUGCUCUUAACACAGGACACCAGAGCAUGCAUUACAAAAUAAAUAUUCGAUGAGGUAUGGACGGUUGUCUUGAUGUGUUUAAUUUUGCAUUCUUUCCAAUAAUUUUGUUGGAGAACACGAGUGUCUUGACUUGUUUCGGUACUCCAACAUGGAUGCUUUGUGAUAUUUACAAUUGUGAGAAGAGGAUCCAUGGCCAAGUUCUUCGAUAAUAAUCGUUCAUGUGGAAUUUUGGAUUGUAUAUUGGUCCAUUGUAUUUUUUUUCCUCUCAUAUUGUCACAAUUAUUGAUUAUAUGACUUGGACUAUGUACAUGUUCAUAAGCAGUGGUGUCUCCUUAUCUGAUGAGGAUGACCAUGCAUCAAUUUUUCAUGUUUGUCAUUCUUCUUGUUAAGUUCUAGAAUGCUCAUUUUUCCGUUGCAACGCACGGGCACUUAACUAGCAAGAAUGAUUUGUGAGUUGUGACAUGGCUGACAGAUCUUCAUGUAUGGUAUAGUUUUGGUCUAUUAGUGUUCAGUGCUAUUCUAUGAUUAAUAUUUGCUCCCGUUUGUUGAUCUUAUUGUUGGAUUUUGCACCAAGAUUUUGGUGUCAACAGGUCUCAGCAGAACGUUGGCUACCGACAGAUAACACAGGGCAAUUGGUCUAGAUUCUGUCAUACUUGUAUACCUUUUCUACUCCCUCUAGUCCAUAAUAGGCGCUUGGGUUUUGUACUAACUUAUUAUGGAUCGAAGAGAGUAUAAAAUAACUUCUAGCAUAGGGUCACGGACCUCGCCAAGACUGUGACGAGCCUAUGGGUCCGCUGGAUCUGAAGGAUGCGGAUUGACCCACUUCGUUUUUUGUGUGGCCUCGGUUGUGAUAUCCUCGCCCAAGCUCAAUAGAUUGAUAGAAAACCUUUGCUAACAAGGUGCAUCUUCUUUUCUGGAAUCUCGUCUCAAUAAAACAUCUCGGUUCAGCGUGCUUAGCUUGAAGCAAUAUUGGUUUGGCGACCUUGUGGGGCCAGUCUAGAGCAUAGAGAGCUACGAGGAAUAACUACUUGGUUGGGUGAGUUGACCGACGGAGCAGGAACCUCCGUCCAUAUAUGAGGCACUCUUGCAUUACUAGAUUCUCAAUUUAAUUAAUUAAAUAUGUAUGUUUUUUAACAAAAAAAAACACCAUUAGUCCUUAUCAAAAGAACUUUCUAAUGAUUUUUUUAUUAUUUAGUUUAUAUUUAUUUAGCUAAAUUGACAAUCUAGUGAUGCGUGUGUGCCUCAUAUUAUGGGACGGAGGGAGUAAGCUCCUUAUUAACAGACUUCUGGUUAUGUUCCAGAUCUUGUUGCUGGCUCCUCUUACGGAGUUAUGGCAUCAAACUCUCGAAGCUGAAUUGGAAAUCAUGGGCUCCUAGUGGGUGAAGUUUUUCAUUUAUCUCUCUUGUUAGAACAUUGUUGGAUGACUGAGAGGGUGCCAAGAUGUCUGCGGCAACACGCCUUGAGGUGCUUGUUGUGCGACCAAUCAUUACAUCAUGGAUAGGGGCGGAGCCAUGAAAAAUUUGUAUGGGGACCAAGGUACAAAAAUACAUAGCUUAUAGUAUAAAAAACAUGUUGGUCCUGUGGCUCGGUCAUUUACCAUGGAUCAUUUCCUUACCAGAUACGCGCACCCUCUACGUGAUGUGUUGUUAUCGAUCUGAUCCGUUGCUGGUCCCUCUGUAGCGAAGACGUGUUUGUUAAAUGGUGGCACUUGAUUGUGCGGUACUUCUUGAGUGCCUCACGAAAGGUCACCUCGUCGAUCAUUUUGCUCAUGGCGUGGUGGAUCCAUAAGUACCGUCACGCAAUCGUCUUCGACAAUAUUUGACCCGACUUGAAUUGAGGCUAGUUAUAGCGUGAUUUCAUAAAAUUUCAAACUGAAUUCUUAUACCUAAUUCUGUGCCAAACAAGUUCAUUCUAAAAUCGUAUGAAAAUUUGAGAAUUAUAGAUCGAAAUGGCAGAUGCGAGUUUUUUUUUUUUAAACUUAGAUGCGAGUUGUCUGGCUGUCUUUUUUGCACAUGGGCCAGACAGAGCUAAUUUAUUUUCCUUGACACGCCCUCUCUCUUCUGCCCAUCUCGGUGCCGAGCGCCCCAGCCCCCUCGCUCCGUCGGUCGUCUUCCUCCUCGAGCGCCGCCACCCCUUCCUCUCCAUCCCGCUGCCGAGCGGCCCCAGCCCGUCUUCCUCCUCGCGCGGGCGUGUCCACCGCAGGUUGAUCUCCCCUUCGAUUCUUCCGCUCCCGGCCGUUUCUCCUCCCAUCACCCCACGAACGGAUCCCGCACCUUUAGCUCCCCGUUUCAUCUCCUUAAUCUUCCCCCAAUUCGUAACUGAGGGGAAAAUCAAGGUAGGGCGGGGCCGCCCUACUGGGUCCUCCGCCCGUGACGUCUGUUCCAGUACUAUUGUGUUACAUCGAGUGUAAUUUUGCCUGGUUAUUUGACCUGGAUUGUUGGAUUGUUGGAUUGAAUAGUAGUACUUCACAGCCGUGUUUUCUAGCAAGGUCAACAUCUCCUUUCCUGUUACUGAGCGUGCAAUCUGGGUUAUCGUAAAUUUCCGUAAGUGGAGAUAUUUGAAUAGUUCAGUUUGGCUUUGUUACUUAUGUACUGGAAAACCUCGUGCGUGCCAACAAACUAAUUCAAAACAUGUAUGUGAUAUACAAACUCUUUCUUCGCGGUAUAUGCAAUAUUGCAGUUUUUUUCAUGGGGUUUGUGUGGUACGUCAUAAAUCUUAAGUGACUGGACUUGUUAUGUACUUAUGUCAUUUAGCAUUUUUGUUUUACCAGAGUGUGGUAAAUCAUCAGUGCUGUAUUUAUACUUUCUGGAUUCAUUGACAUUGAGUACCUGGAAGUCUUGGGAGCAAUUUAUGGCAUUUAUAUAGUAGUACAUGUUGAUCUUCAUUCAUUCAGUCCUCUGAACUGUUAAGAACAAUGGCCUUGUCCAAAAGAUUCCCACCUUUUCAGUUUCAAUGUGUCCCACUCUUAGUACCCGACCGGCCUACUAUCUUGGUGUAAGAUAUACCAAACCAAUGUUAAGUUCAACGUUAGGACUUAGAACAUACUUCUGAGACCUGUUAAAGAACUGGGCCUGUAAACUUGGCAUCUGGUUCUUUUUUCCACACACAAAAAAUAAACAAUUGAGAUACCCAUGAAUGGUUUGUGCACUAUCCAUCUCUCCCUUUUUCAAAAGAUAAAUUUUGUGCAUGUCCUUUACAUUGGUUCCCUAGUACUCCCUCCGUUUCAUAUUAAAUGACUCAAAUUUGUCCAAAUAUGGAUGUAUCUAUGCCUAAAAAGCGUCUAGAUACAUGUAAUAGAAAGUCACUUAAUAUGGGACGGAGGGAGUAGUUACUUAUGCUAACAUGUUCAUCAUAACUGCUACAUUAUGGUUCAAAUGUGAAUAUAUUUUCCAGAAUAUGUUUCAGAUUUCCUCUCCAAUUUAUGUAUGUACUGCUGUGUAUGUAUGCUAAAUAUUUGGUGGCUUUGAGAUUAGUUAGCUGAUAAGAAAUUGAUCUCCUUGUAGCUUGUUUGGGCAUCUGUUCGUGCAGUAUGUCGGGGAAGCCAUCUGAUGAUAUGGCUGGUCAAGUGAGGCCUGAAGGAGAUGUUUCAGACGUGAAAGUAGAAACUGCCAACCAGAAUAAAGGAACUGAUAUGCCUUCACCACAGGAAGAGGUAUCAUCUUUUGUUAACAAUCGUAACGUUUAUUUAUCCUUUAGCAUUUAUGUAUACUUACAUGCUAUCAUUUGUAUUAUUUUGCUAAUUUAGCUUACAUUUUAAGACUGCCAAUAUUAUAUCCAUAACCACGAUGUAACUUAACCGGAUACUUGCAGGAGGCAGCAAUCAAGAAAAAAUAUGGUGGAGUACUGCCCAAAAAGUCACCACUUAUAUCCAAGGUAUCAAUGGCUUAGUAUAUUACUACGUUCUGCCAUAUAUACAAUUUCAUCAUCUGUUUAUAAAGCAGUAAGGGAAGUUAAAUUAUUUUUAGCUCCAUAUCCAUAUAAUUUCAUCUGCAUUAUGUCUAUCAGGAUCAUGAGCGAGCUUAUUUUGAUUCUGCUGAUUGGGCUCUGGGCAAGGUAUCGUACUGUUAUUUUGAAAAGCUAAAAGUAAAACUGAUAUUUGGAAGCAAUGUUAACUCUUACACUACAAUCUUGCUCCCUUGAUCCUUGGUUUCCUGCAGCAAGGAGGACAUCCUAAACCUAAAGGACCACUUGAAGCACUUCGACCAAAAUUACAGGUACUGACUGAAACUCUCCCUCAUUGCUUGGUACUCAUGAGAAUGUACUUGCCUUGUAUUUUGCUACCGUAGAGACUUAAUUUUUCUAUGGCAUUAGCUGCUAGCUGUUUGAUUAGGGUAUUUGGUGUUUUUUCAUUCUAAUAAUCAAUAGAGUUCAUGUCCAUAUUUUUUCUGUUGUUUGGCCCAGUAUUUAAACUGGAUUGAGUUUAAAUGAAAAGUCCCCUUCAUUGUUGUCUUUUUUUUUUUUGCUUAAGAGGCUCAUUUGUAGGCGAAUGUAGUGAUAGUUAUGAAGUUAACUUAUGCUAUACCAUACUCAUUUGUUGGCUUACAUCUUUAUCAAUUUUGUUACAGCCUACUCAACAGCAAGCCCGUUCACGUCGAUUUCUUCAUGCAUCUGCUGACAAUGAAGGUACUUGAUGUUACAAGAUGUCAAGCAAGAAAUCCUAAAUGUUUAUUUUGUCAUCGAUUCAAGCGUCACUUUUGCCUUGCAGAGGGGGGCAAUUCACCCACUGAGGCUACGAGCCAGAACCAGGAUUCCACCGAGGGCAAGGACGAGAGCAAGGAAUGAGUACAUGACGAGUAGCUCCAUGUUUUUUCCCAAACUGAACCAUGCCGUUUGAUAAGCCCGCGCCAUUUUGUGGCUGUAGUAAUAAGUACUCUAAUGCCCCUUAAUGCUCGCUGAAUUUUGAACCGCAUUGGAGACAUGCCGCGUCUACUGCGUUCUGCUGUUCCAUGUCUUGUACCUGUAACGAUUUGUGAUGGAAUUUGGAACAUUUUCGUGGCACUGAGUGUCUGCGCAGACAAAAUAAAAAUGUGAGCCUGUGAGAUGUUUCUUCCUUGUGCCACUACUGAUGAGUAGAACCAGAUUCCCUGAAACAAAAAAGAUGAGUAGAACCAGAUUCUUCUAACCUGCGGUGCUUGUUUCUUCUGGUGCUGCGCUGAGACGGUUCAUGUCUGAUGUUCGAAACCUGGGUGCCUGGCAAUAUCUGAACUAUUGAUGUUUUCCCGACUGCUGUAGGUUACGUAUUAUAUUUGAAUUUCAUAGGAUUUCAAGAGUUAUCAUGUAGGAGUAACUCAGUUUGGCGCUAUGGGAGUUUGUUGUCUUUGGACUCGUAGUUUUGCGAAAUUGCUGAUUUUCAAACAUGUUCCUUGACGAAUUUUCGAAACACAGUCCCAUCAUCGAAUCAAACAAAAACUGGAGCAAGCAUUGCUCUUUUAUUUUUGGAGAGGGGAUCAAGCAUUGCUAAUCGCCACCAAUCUGGAUGAAUCUCUGGAGUUUGACACGCCCUGGUCAAGCAUGUUGAGGAACCAACGACGGGGUGGGGUGGCCACCGAGUCGUGCACCCCCACCAAUCCCCCUGUUGACUCAUUUCUCCAUCUAAUAGUUUGUUGUGGACUCUUAUUCAUUGAGCCUAUAUAAAGAAGAGGAGGCUACCCCUCGUACGUACACUUGAGAUCAGAAAUUAAUAAAGAGCUCAUGUUCCUCUCUACUUGGUGUUCAUCUACUUUACUGUACUUCAUGAUUGUGCGUGUUUGAUUAGGAUCUUGGUGUGCAACCUCAGGACCGGUCAGCCGGCAAGAGUUGCACAACACGUUAUCAGCACGAGUCUCUACCCCCAGCCUUCAUCGAGCCUACUCCACGCAGGCUCUCGACAUAAAUCACGGAGGUAUUGGAUCCGAAAUUUUAUUGCAAAAAUGGAUUCCUCUUUGUGUUACGAUUCCGUUUUUGCUAUUAGAUUAUCUUUCGGAUUUUUCUACCCACGGUAUGGAAUUCCCUCGCGAGAUGUUGCCGACCAAGUCGCCGGCCAAUGCCGAUCAUCCUCGCCGCAGGAGGGACUUGUUGACCAUAACCAUGGGGAGACGGUGUCGCACUGUUGUGCUCACCGCCGGCCACCGCAGGCUCCAUGCCGCGAGCCGUCCCAAGCCACCCCAUGGAGCCGCUGCAGUGGAGCACGCCGUCGAGCGCUGCUCCUAGGCGCUGGCCUGGCCGCUGCUCCGAAGUCGUCACCUCACGCACGACGCCGCACCAGCUGCUUCAAUGCACGAGCGCUGCCCUCUGGAUGUGCGCGGGCUGCUGCAAGCACUGGCCGUGCGGGAACUGCCGCUGGCCACGAGCACCUCCGCUGAGUGCCGCUGCUAGAUAUCGCGCCUCGCCAACGCUGCCGCCAGACAUGUUUGGGCGUGUGUCGCCGCGUGCCCCCGCGUGCACUGCAGUCCCGAUGCCAUCGAACCGGUGGCCGUCAGGCUCCGCCGCGUUGGUGCGAGGCCUCGCUGCGCACCCCUGCUGGCGCUGCCGGCCCUGGACGCGCGCACCGCCCGGGCCGCCUCAGGAGCGUGCCAGGCACGAGCGCGUGCCGCCGCCGCCGUCCCCACCUUGUGCGCAGGCUGCCGCUCAGGCACCGCCGCCGCGCCUCGACAACCCCCGUGCGCGGGGCCGCCGCCGUCGCUCCAUUUGCGGGCACGAGCGCGCGGGCGCAGGCCGCCACUGAUGCCGCCUCAGUCGCGGGCACAGGCCGCCGCCGCCACCCAAGGAGAAACCCUAAUGAGGGCUGGCGCGGCUGGGCUGGGCCAGGCGAGGCAGGGAGUUGGGCCACCGGCCCAAUAGGCGAGCGGGCGGGCCAGAUUCGGUCUGGGAUGGUAGAUUUGCAUUUCGGCCCUUGGUCUUUCUGUAAUUAAGCGCAUUGUUUACUGUGCUGCGUUUUGCGACUAAGGCCUUGGAAUUGUCAGUUUUGGCUGAAAUCUCGUAUUUUGGCUCAAAAUGGCUUCAGGAAUGUGUUUUUGGGGCUAAUUUUCAUGUUUAGGAAACGUUUAACUUGCCAUCUCUAUGCACAUGCUUGUAUUACCAUGUUUUACCGUUGUUGAUUAAUUGUAAAUAUGCUUUAUUGCUUUUAAUUAUUAAGUAAGACAUGAACUCGUAUGUUUUAAAUAUUGGAACGUUGUUAUGAACAACUAUAUCAUUUUAUCACAUUUAUGCGCUGGGUUACAUGAGGUUACCUCGAGAUUAUAUGUUGAAAUCUCGUAAAAUUUCGCAUUAAUGAUAUGAAUCACAAACCUGCAGUUCGAGGAGCCGACCUAAAAUGGUUGGACUUGAUUUUUGGAUGUGGAUUUGUUCUCGGAGCUUGGUAGCUUUUGAGGAGGUUGAUCGGCUUGGUGUCUUGUUGACUACCGCCACCACCCUGCGAGGAGAACAUUUAGGCAUUGCACCAUCCCUUUGUACUUUUGGACAAGUACAUACAUGUUGGGAAAGUGUUAUGCUUUACCAGAUGGUCCUGGUUCCACAUGUGUUGUUCAUCCUCGCAUGUCAUAAGUAUUUUCAGGUUAUGUAAUAGCGCGAGGUUUAACCUCGCUAUAACUCAGAGGGGGAGGCGCAAAAUGGAAGCACUAACUGAUUCUAUUAAGCUUGGCCAACCCCCGUUGAGUUUGUGCUAUGUGUGCUUUCACACACGUCUCUCCCGACUAUUGCUACCGUGAUAGCUGAUAAUGGGAUGAGGCCAUGCCGAACUGUGACAUAUGCGGAGGAUGAGGACACCAUCGUCAAGUGCACUUGGCCCUCCUAAUGAUUCAUUUGUCAAUUGAUUUUGAUGAUUCUAUGAUAUAAAAUCACCUGAGGUGGUUGUAUAUGCUCUGAGCAAGCAAAACUUGUUCUUUCAACGCUAGGAUGAUUUGUGAGUUCAUCCAUUAAUUCCUUUAUUUAAUACUGAUGGCCUGUUAUGUUCUGAAAUAUGUAAUGCAUUUACUUAAUUAUGUUGCUACUUCCUCGCUUCAUAAAAUAAUUAGAUGCUAUAUUUUAGAACACGUGGCGCUCGAAUGGAGGAAACAUGCCUUGUGGAUAGUUGUACCACAAACACCAUCUUGAGAGAAACUCAUUAUUUCGAGUCCAUUAAAAAGAUUCCGAGGAGUAUAAUGACUAUCGUAGGGGGCGAGUCAAAAAUAGUAGGCUCUGGACGAGCCACUAUCAUACUCCCCAUGGGAACCACUUUCCUCAUUGAGGAAGCAUUAUUGUACUCAGAGUCGACUCGGACUCUCUUGAGUUUUAAGGACAUCCGCGCAAACGGCCUCCAUGUGGAGACCGAUGAUGAUAAUGGCAAAGAGUGCCUACUUAUCACAAAGCGCGAUGCCCACGGUAAGCACGUUGUUGAAAAAUUCCCUUCAUUCGACAAUGGGCUUUACUACACUAAGGUUGUAGCGCCGCCCGUGUACACUACAUUGUCGUAUAAAGUCUAUUCGAAUGGACAACGCUGGAGAAUUUUCUUCAAAAGACUAUAUUUAGAAGUUCUGAACUAUUUUGCUUAUGGCAUGAUAGAUUAGGCCACCCGGGUAUUAGAAUGAUGUGAAAUAUAAUUAACAACUCAAAUGGGCAUGGGGUGAAUGUUAAAAUUUUCCCCAAUCAUGAUGAUUUCGUGUGCUCGGCAUGCGCGACGCGGAAAUUAAUCAUUCGACCAUCACCAUUGAAAGUGAGGGAUGAAAUCCCUGCGUUUUUGGAACGCAUCCAAGGGGAUAUAUGUGGUCCGAUUCAGCCCCUUUCGGAGCCGUUUCGAUACUUCAUGGUGCUCAUAGACACUUCGUCUAAAUGGUCCUGUGUUAAUUUGUUGUCUACACGGAACCAUGCCUUUGCCAAGUUGAUGUCGCAAAUCAUACAAAUGAGGAAUAAUUUUCCGGAUCAUCGUAUAAAGUCUAUUCGAAUGGACAACGCUGGAGAAUUUUCUUCAAAAGCGUUCGAUGAUUAUUGUAUGGCACUUGCCAUUAAGAUUGAGCACUCUGUACCGCAUGUCCAUACGCAAAAUGGACUAGCGGAGGCAUUGAUUAAGAGGAUUAAAUUCAUUGCCAGACCACUCCUUCGGGGUUGUAAUUUACCAACCACGUGUUGGGGGCAUGCAGUGUUGCACGCCGCAAAUCUCAUCAACUAUAGACCCACGGCGUACAACAUCCAUUCACUUGUCCAACUAGCGCAAGGGUCGGCACCGAAAAUUUCCCACCUUCGUAGGUUCGGUUGCCAGGUAUAUGUACCGAUACCAGCCCCUCAGCGAUCAGCAAUGGGACCGCUCCGUAAGUCGGGGAUAUACGUUGGUUAUGAGACUGUGUCCAUAAUCAGGUAUCUAGACCCCAUGACAAGAGACUGUCAUACGGCCCGAUUUGCUGACUGCAUUUUUAACGAGGAUCUCUUCCCGACUUUAGGGGGAGGAAAUAAACCUCUUGAUGAGAAAAGCCGAGAAUUGACGUGGCAAGCCACGGGGAUCCACGCAAAUGACCCGCGCACAAGUGAGACACAUAGAGAAGUCCAAAAGAUAAUAGAUUUGCAUGCUUUAGCGAAUCAACUGCCUGAUCACUUUAGUGACUUGAGAAGUGUGACAAAAUCACAUGUGACUGCGCGCAAUGUACCGGAAAGGGUAGAGAUACCCAAGGAUCCUAUGGGUCUACCCGCUCGAGUCCAAAGGCCUAAAAGGACGAGAAAUCUGGUUCCUCAAAUCCCAAGUACUCGGGGACGCCCGACUGAAAGAUCGGUAUGGUCGACUGGGGGGGGGGGUGAAUAGGCGGCUAACAAAUUUUAUUUUUUCUUUUCACUUUUAAGGAUACAAGCAUCAAUACAUGGGUUCACUAAAACGUCUAAAUGAUGAACACCCUUAGUAUGAUGUAAUAGCCAAAGCACGAGCACAAGCAAUAGAUAAUCAAUAAAAACUUGCUUGAUAACCGAAGCACAAGAUAAACAAUUAAGCUUUGCGAGUAAGUAAAGGGGCAAGAAUGAUACCACACGGGGAGACGAAGAUUUCACCGGAGUUUCACCUAUUGGGGUCGGUGUACAUCUCCGUUUGGAGGAGUGCUCUACCACAAAGGUAGAGGCGCCACAAAGGCUCACUCUAUUCUCCAACUCACCACACCACAAAGGUGGGAUGAGCUCUCACAACACCACAAAGGUGAGGUGAUUUCCACUGGUGGCUUCCUUGAGGGCAAACGUCGAACCGUUACAAACAAGGAGAAGGGCACAACUUCACAACUUAAUUGGAGGCUCCUUCCCGAAUCCUCAAGCACCUCCUCACAAGAUUGGAGGCCUUGAAGAGACACCUUUCGGCUAGGGAUCCCAAAAUCCCAAGAGUAACAAAAUCCACGAAGGAAACAAGGGGAAUCAACUUUUUGCUUUGGUGAAACCCUAGAUCUAGAUCUCCUCAUCCAAUCCUCAAAGAAUCAACAAGGGGGGUAGCUCUAUGGAGGAAGAUAUAGCACUUUAAAGUUUUAGAAAUGGUGUGGAAAGAGUUGGGCUUCGGAUAAGUUCAUCCUGAGGUAGGGGAUGACUAUUUAUGUGGGUCCCGAAAUCUAACCGUUAUGCACUAAGUCUGGCAGGGGAGGAAGUUCCGGUCAUACACCGGAAGUUCCGGUACCCUGGAACUUCCGUCCUUGUUCCUGUCCAACCUCCGCCAAACACAAAUGAAUUCCAGUAGCAUCACGGAGGUGGGCCAGACGUUGGGUGGAAGUUCCGCCCUACUGGAGGUAGGCCGGCAGUUCCGGGCCUGGAACAGACCUGGCAACACAGUUAGACUUUGGGUGGCUCUCUCUCGGACGGGUAGGCUUUAUGUGGGUGCAAAUAUGGUAGUUUGUGUACGUGAAGUGGAUUCACCCAUUACCUUCCCAUGUGGACUCCCUCUUAAUAGUACGGAGUUCCUACGACUCAAUAUAAAUAAAAAGCCGCUAAACACCGCUACGCUUCUUUCCUUUUUGAAGGCAACGAACCGUCUUGUGCCAUAUGAUCUCAAAUCUGAAACACUCGAGCACACGGUUAGUCCACGAGUCAUGUUGUCAUUAACACCAAAACACUUAGGGAUCGAAUUGUCCUUUCACCGACGAAAAAGGACAAGGGGGAUUUGUCACACUCGGUUACUAAAUAGUCCCGAGAGAGUGAGGGGAGCCAAUUGAGACUUGGCACAAGUACGGAAUCUCCAGCGCAAGAAAUUCCGGACUUUAACCUUCUAACAGUGGAAGCACCCAGCGGAGAUGUGAGCGCACACAUCGGCGCAGAAAAACUAAAGGACCUUGCUCCAGGAAUGGGAAAUCCUAUGGAGACAGAGGAUGCGCAUGAUGCGCCCCAUGACGAAAUGGCCAUAGAUUAUGUUAACAUGGGAGAACCAAUAAACCGAGCGACUGCUAAUGUCGACAUAAACUUUGCUAAGAAAAUUGCCGCAAUCAUCGAUCUUGACCCCGAGCCUAACUCGCUCGCUGAUUGUAAGAAGAUGUCGGAUUGGAAAGAUUGGCAGAAGGCAAUAGCUACCAAAUUAUUAUCUCUACAGAAAAGAGAGGUUUUUGGACCUGUGUGCCGAACCCCUCUCCACGUACGCCCUGUCGGCUAUAAGUGGGUAUUUGUCCGCAAGAGAAAUGAAAAUAAUGAGGUAGUACGGUACAAAGCAAGGUUAGUUGCUCAGGGGUUUACUCAACGACCUGAGGUCGAUUAUGAGGAAACCUACUCCCCGGUCAUGGAUGGAAUUACCUUUAGAUAUGGACUUAAAAAUGAAAUUGAUGGAUGUUGUUAUAGCUUACUAUAUGGUAACUUGGAUUCGGACAUUUAUACGAGGAUACCUGAUGGUCUUCCGGUUCCGAACCAAGACAGAGCAAACAGAGGUCUAUACAAUGUUCAACUCAGGAAGUCACUGUACGGACUUAAACAGUGGGGUAGAAUGUGGUAUAAUCGCCUGAGCGAUUUUCUACAUGAAAAGGGCUAAACGAGCAAUGAAGAUUGCCCAUGUGUAUUUAUACGGCGAUCCCAAGAUGGAUUCUGUAUAAUCUCGGUAUACGUAGAUGAUUUGAAUAUCAUCGGUACGUCUGAGGAUAUUGAGGAAGCAAGUUCCUACUUGAAGUCGGAAUUUGAGAUGAAAGAUUUGAGUAAAACCAAGUUCUGUCUAGGUUUGCAACUGGAACAUUCCCAUGAUGGGAUUCUAGUGCACCAGUCUACCUACACUCAAAAGGUGUUGGAAAGAUUUGGAUUUGACAAGGCAUAUCCUUCAAAGACUCCCAUGAUUGGGCGGUCAUUACAGCAGGACACGAACCCUUUCAGUCUGAAAGAAAAGGUGGAGGAAGUUCAGAAUUUCCUUACCUGAGUGCUAUUGGAGCGCUCAUGUACCUCACGAAUUGUACAUGACCGGACAUUGCGUUCGCCGUCAAUUUGCUGGCUAGGUACAGCUCUGAACCUACCAAAAGGCAUUGGAAAGGUGUUAAGAAUGUCUUUCGGUACCUGCAAGGGACCAAAGAUCUUGUGCUAUUUUAUAGAAGAAAUCAAGACCUAUCUUUGAUAGGCUAUGCCGAUGCUGGGUAUUUGUCGGACCCGCAUACAUCCAAGUCUCAGACUGGAUAUGUUUUUCUAUGUGGUGGAACAGUUGUUUCAUAAAAAUCGUCAAAGCAAAGUCUUGUAUCGACUUCGACGAACCACUCGGAAAUCAUAGCACUAUAUGAAGCAUCACGUGAGUGUGUAUGGCUUCGACGGAUGGUUCGCCACAUUCAGCAGACCUGUGGGAUGAACACCGUCCAGACCCUCACCAUUAUCUAUGAAAAUAAUGCAGCUUGUGUUGCACAAGUACAAACGGGUUAUGUGAAGAGUAAUCUCACCGAGCAUAUAAAUCCUAAGUUUUUCUAUGCACAUGAGUUGCAAAAGAUGAAUGAGGUAAAGGUCUUGCAUACUAAGUCGUGUGAAAAUCUUGCUGAUUUGUUCACCAAGUCACUACCGGCAUCCACCUUUGAAAGGUGUGUGCGUGGAAUCGGUAUGUUGAGACUUAGGGAAAUGCAAGGUUCAGGGGGAAAUACUUCACAUACUCAUCGAUAAAUCUUCACAGACCUGUGGUUUUUAACGAGGCAAUCUAUGCAACAUAGCAACGUAUCUUAUGCGCUCUUUCUCCAUGUGUUUUUCCCACCGGGUUUUUUCGGAGUUUUUGAGGCAUAUGGUAUACGGGUAUCGGCCCAAGGAGGAGUGUUGAGGAGCCAACGAUGGGGUGGAGUGGCCACCGAGUCGUGCGCCCCCCACCAACCCCCUGUUGACUCGUUCCUCCACCUAAUAAUUUGUUGUGGGCUCUUAUCCAUUGUUUCUAUACAAAAGAGAGGAGGUUACCCCUUGUACGUACACUUGAGAUCAGAAAUUAAUGAAAAGCUCAUGUUCCUCUCUACUUUUUGAUGUUCAUCUAUUUUACUGUGCUUCGUGAUUGUGUGUGUUCGAUUAGGAUCUUGAUGCAACUUCAGAACCGGACAGCUGGCAGGAGUUGCACAACAAAGCACAAUCCAGGCCAGACUCCAGGUUAACAAAAGCUUGAGAACGGGCCGGAAUCGGGUGCUUCUGACAUGUGGGCCGAACUCCCGGUCGAAGAAGCCCUUUUAAGCACUAGAGAAAUAAAUAUUCGUUUUCCCGAGCCCUAAAGCCCCCUUUUCCUCUUUCCGCAUCGCGAACCCUAACCGAACCCUUGCGCCGCCGCUGCCGCCUCCGUCCGGAUCCAAGCCGCCGCCGACCGCAACCAUGGGCUUCGACGUGGGCGUCGUCCCCUUCAACCCCGACGGCUGGGGCCCUCCUGAGACCCCGGCCGCGCCGCCGUCCCUGGGCGGUGCCACCGCCACGGCCUCCAUCCCCUUCGCGCCCUUCUCCCGCUCCGAUAAGCUGGGCCGCAUCGCCGACUGGACGCGCAACCCCGGCGGCCCCGGGAUGCACCCCGCCGCCUCGCGCGACUCCGUCUUCGACUUCACCUCCGCUGACGACUCCCUCGCCGCCGCGGCCGAGGACUCCUCGUUCCACCUCGUCGACGCCAAGCCGCCGCCGCGACACCCGCGCUUCGGCCCCAAGUGGCGCUUCAACCAGCGCCCGCAGCUCCCCCAGCGCCGCGACGAGGAGGUCGAGGCCAAGCGCCGCGAGGCCGAGAAGGAGCGCGCCCGCCGCGAGCGCCACUACCAGAACCACCGCUCGCACCACCACCAGGGCUUCCGCGGCAACCAGUCCUCCUCCGCCAAGCCUUCCGUCGACAUCCAGCCCGACUGGACCAUGCGUGAGCAGAUCCCCUUCGCCAACUUCACCAAGCUCUCCUUCACCGUCAACGACCAGCCCGAGGAUCUCCUCGUCUGCGGCGCCGUUGAGUUCUACGACCGCGCCUAUGACCGCGUCAACCCCAAGGCCGCCCGCCGCCUCGAGCGCUUCAAGUCCCGCAACUUCUUCAAGGUCACCACCACCGACGACCCUGUCAUCCGCCGCCUCGCCGAGGAGGACAAGGCCACGGUGUUCGCCACCGAUGCAAUCCUGGCUGCUCUCAUGUGCACGCCUCGCAGCAUCCUGUCAUGGGACAUUGUCGUGCAGCGCGUUGGGAACAAGCUCUUUUUUGACAAGCGUGAUGGCUCUCAGCUCGAUCUGCUCACUGUAAAUGAGACUGCCCAGGAGCAGCUCCCUGAGAAUAAGGAUGACAUCAACUCGGCACAUGCUCUUGCGGUCGAGGCGACCUACAUCAACCAGAACUUCUCGCAGCAGGUGCUUGUUCAUGAAGGCGAGAAGGUUACCUUUGAUGAGCCUAACCCGUUUGCAUCUGAGGGCGAGGAUGCGGCAUCCAAUGGCUACCGCUAUCGCCGCUGGAAGCUGGAUGAGGAGAUCAGCAUUAUUGCUCGCUGUGAAGUGCAUGCUGCCAGUGCUGAUGCAAGCGGUGGUCGCCAGUUCUUCACGCUCAAUGCACUCAAUGAGUUUGAUCCUAAGAUUACUGGUGUUGACUGGAGGCAGAAGCUUGAGACCCAGCGCGGGGCUGUGCUUGCUACAGAGCUCAAGAACAAUGCCAACAAACUUGCUCGCUGGACUUGCCAGGCUUUGCUUUCUGGUGCUGACAUGAUGAAGUUGGGUUAUGUGUCACGAGUUCACCCCCGUGAUCACUACAACCAUUCCAUACUCACCGUGAUGGGGUACAAACCAAGGGAUUUUGCUGCACAGAUCAACCUCAACACUGCAAACAUGUGGGGUAUUGUCAAGUCAAUUGUGGACAUAUGCAUGAAGUUUGAAGAAGGCAAGUAUGUGCUUGUGAAAGAUCCUGCGAAGCCACAGGUGAGGAUCUACUCGGUGCCUAAUGAUGCAUUUGAGAAUGAUUAUGUUGAAGAGCCACUGCCGGAGGAGGAGCAGGUUCGGUUACCUACAGAUGAUGUCGACGCCACUGCAGAGGAGAUGGACGCAGCUGCUGAGGCAGAGGCCAAUAAAGCUGCCACAGGCGGUGUGGGUGAGAAGAAUGCCGAAGCUACUGUUGCCUGAAGGGUAUAAUUGGUUAUCUUGCCUUCUCUAGAUAUAUGUCUUCUCUGGUUUAUGAUCUGUUUUGAUGGGUUACUUGAAGAGUUGAACUGCGUGGUAUCGAUACUGUGUUCUCGUUUUGAUCUAUCAGAAAACUGUUGAUUUUCAAUUUUUAUGCUUGGAUGUGCUAAAUUUGUUAGCACCUAUCGAUUGGAUUUAAUGACUAUGCUGGCAGUUUAAUAUCACUUCUAGUGGUUUAUCGACGAUAUUUUUUUCAGCAAGCGUGUAUGCUCGAGUGUUUUUUCAAUCUUUCAUGGAAUGCCUUGGUUCUCAGAAACGUCUAGAUUGCAUUAAGUUAUAUUGCAGUGGAUCAAUUUGUAAAUCAUGUGCUCUGUUGGCCUGAAUAUGUUGCUACUGGAGUCCUGGUCCAUCCUACUUAGAAUCUUACAAGUAUAGGGUUUCAAUCUUUCCAACUUGAACAGACCAGACUUGUACUAGCAAACGGGUAGAUCCAAGUCCAUCAGGUUUUGGCUUGCUCAUGUUGCACGGGCUGCUAGUUUUGUUUUUCUGCUAGAUUUCAGUAUUGCAUAUCACAUCAAUAAACUGUUGUGUUUUGGAUUGAAACGAGUAUGAUGGAUCAGGCAGCUCCAUCACAAGGAUUUCAGGUCCCUUCCCUUAGAAUUGUACUUCGAAUUCUCAUUUUUCAGUUUCAUGCUGCUAUGCAUCCAGUAUGCUUCUGAGUGCUGGUUAGAUGCAAGUCAACUGUGCUAUAAGCAAGUACUCGCUCCGUUCCUAAAUACUUGUGGCCGUUUUAGUUCAUGUUUGCACUAAAACAGCAACAAGUAUUUAGGAACGGAGGAGCUACCUUGUAGCUUAUCCUACUAACACUAUUAAACUGAAGAGUAUGUUCUGUCCUGUCCAUUGCUUCAGUUCCAAUUCUAGCAGCAUUGGAGAAUACGAAGUGGGGGUUCCUGUAUUUAGUAUAGGAGUUCACUCAUAGUCUUUUAAGCGUGAGGUGUGGCCGUGAGCCUGUAUAGAAUACAAAUAGUGCCAGCCAGCCAAACCAAGCUAGUUCAAGAGGAUCAAAUGGGUAUUUUGGGGCUAAAAGCACAAAUUCAGGCCUGCUCUCUGUUCACUCCCGGGUUAUGCCAAACCUUUGACAGCAUGGAGAGAAGAGCCUGCGCCGUUGUUUGCAAAUCAGAACGCUUCGGUUGGGGGGCCUGGGGGCUCGCAUGAGGAAAAGGUUUCAUGGAGAAUUCAGAAGAAGCGAUAGGCCAGGUUACUCUGAUUCUUCAAGCUUUAAAAUUGCCUCCGUAAUGCUCCUUCAGCACUGAAGAAUCCUGGCCUAAGCAAUAGAACUGAAGAAUCAUGCGUUAUGUAUGACCCCGCUUCAAAGCAAGCCGUGCCUUUCAGUGUAGCUGUCACACGCCAUUCAUUCAGUGCCCCCUCGUUUCUCUCUUGCUGUUUGGUUGCGUCUUGCAGGGAUGGAAUUGAAGAAAGGACUUCUUUUUUAUCUCUGCUCGGUGACAAUUCGAAAGAGGACAUUCUUUACGGAAUUACGGUUCCUGUGGCUGUGGAAGGAAAAGGGGUAUUGAUUGCAUGCCUGCAGAAGCCUGCGGGGAAAUUCAAUGGGACUCGCUUCAGAUCGUGACGAGCGGCGAGCGAGCAGAGCUAGGUUUAUGCUGAAUGCAUUUGCCGAUUUUAAACAGGCCCGCCCGUGUCGCUGUGCCGGAGACUUGGACUCGGUGCGGGUGCUCUGCCCAGAAUAGAAUAGAAGUGUUUUCUGAGAGUUCGAGAUGCAAAUAGGAUGGCAGGUAUAACAUUGUACUCACUCCAUAAUUCUUAUAAUUCUUGUCGAAAUAUUACAUGCAUCUAGACACGUUUUAGAAAAACUACAUCUAUUUUUGAGCAAAUUUGAGACAACAAUUAUGUAAGGUAGGUUGUUUUUAUGAUCAACAGACCGCGAAUUAUUCUCUCAGCGAUGCCUUAGUUGAAUUUGUACAAACCCCAAGACUUCACUCUCUCUUCAGCAAACGUCACGUGAAUCAGAAUGUGUCGUACUCUGUUUUUCCGGAAGAAAUAAGAAAGAGAAAAACUACUCCUACACAUUUUGUUCACAGCCAAGCUUGAUGAUCCCCACACCCACCUACCGCCAGCUCGAGGAAACCCUACACAUUUUGUUCCCCUCUCCAAGUCUCCGCUCACCAUCAUCAGCAGCGAGCAGAUUACACUCAUCAUGAGUGCGCUUAACAGUAACAGCAGCAGCAGCAGCCGCCCUGCAAUAACAAGCCAGCUCUCCCUCGAGCUCGAGCUCUCACUCGCAAACCCUACUACAGCUGCAGGCUGCAGCUGCACUUACUCCCAAGCUCGCUCCACUGUCUCCACCUCACCCCGCACAAAUAAACAACGCCAAUAAAUCCAUCUAUUCCAUCCAAGAAUUGAAGAAGAAAGAAAGGCAAGGCCGGUCACUCGCAUCUCCCCCUCAUGCGCCGCAAGAAGCACUCGGACCGGGGCGGCGGCGGGGGCGGAACGGAGCUCUUCAUCUGCUUCACCUCCCGGCCUUCCUCCUCCUCUUCCGGCCUCCGCGCCUCCGGCUCCUCCAAGGUCUUCAGCCCCGGCCGCGGCGGCGGGAACGGCGCUGCCGACGCGCCGCCGGCCGCGCUGCUCCGGCCCUCGCUCAGCCGCCGUCUCCGCAACAGCGGGAGCCUCAAGGGAGGGCAGUCGCCCAUGUUCCCGCCCGGGAGCGCGUCCGGCGGCGGCGGCGGCAGGCGGGGGCGCGGCGGGCUGGAGCCUGCCGAGCCUUCCUCCCCCAAGGUCACCUGCAUCGGCCAGGUCCGCGUCAAGGGCGGCAAGCGCAAGCCCAAGCACGCCGCAUCUUCCUCCUCCGCCGCCGCCGCCGCGCUGCGGUCCCGGUCCAGGCGCGGUGGUGUAAGCGUCGGCGGCGGGUCUGAGUCCAGCUUCCGCCGCGCCGGCGAGGACAGGGAUGGCUUCCCCCUGGGGAAGAGCCAGAGCCAGGGUCAGGGCCAGGGCCAGAACCAGGGGGGCUGGGUCUACCAGAUCCCGGUCAACAUCUGCGAGGCGCUCAAGACCUUCGGCUCCUGCGGCGGCCGCUCGCUCUGCUCCCCGUCCCGGGAGCAGCGCCGCGGCGGCGGCUCCGCUGGUGGCGACAACAAGAAGCGCCGGCGCGCCCCGGCUGGCGGCGGCAGCUGGCUCUGCGGCGCCGCCGUGGCGCGGUGUCUCCUGGCGAUCCAGGAGGAGGACGACGAGGCCGGGAAGGGAGGCGCCGCCGUUGGGCCCGCGGACGAGGCCAAGGAGUCCGGGGUCGGGCUCGUGAUGCAGGGGUGGGACGUCGAGGAUGACGACGAGGAAGAGGAUGAACCGGGCAUGGUGGUGGGCAAGGUUGAAGUUGAGAAGGACGACGAGAUCUUGGUGGUGGGGGGCAAGGAGGAGGAAGGGAGAGUCAGCGUCUGCAUCCCGCCAAGGAACGCGCUCCUGCUGAUGCGCUGCAGGUCCGACCCCGUGCGGAUGGCGGCGCUCGCCACGCGCUUCUGGGGUUCCCCUGCUGCGACCAAUGUCGGCCAUGUAGACAAUGGAGAGGGUAAAGGCAACGAGGAAGAAGAGAAAGAAGGGGGCGAGGGUGAGGCCUAUGCAGAGAAGGAAUGCGAUGAAGAAGAAGAAGCUCGUGGUUCAACGGUUUCUGCUGAAGAAGUGGCAUGCCGAGAGUGCGGUGUCGUUGAAGAUUGUGGUAGUGAGGCCGGGGAUGUAGGUCAAGUAGAGGCAGAAGCAGAAGAAGAGAGCUCUAAACAUGGAGAUGUGGGGGAGGAAGAGAAGGGUGGAGGUUGCCGAGAGGACGGAGAGGGGAAGGAUGAGCCUGCGGAGGUGCGAAUUGUUCGCAAAGACACGGGUUUGGAGGUUGCUUUGGCAGGAGAAGAUGCGAAGGGCGAAAUCCAAGUGCCGGGAAUGGUGGAGGUGUUGGUGGACUCUAAGGAGCCCGCUGAUGUUCCAAGACAGGAGAAAGAGGAGGAAGAGAUGAAGGGGAGGAGAUCGAUCAGCAGCAGCUCCCCAUCAGCAGCACUGAAGGAGGACCGUAAAUUGCGACGGUUGAGCAGUAGGAGGCGCGUCCCUAGCAGCAGCAGGGCCUCGUCGAGCAGUGAUCGGGUAGACAGGCGACACAGCUUUUCAGCUGAAAUGGAUGCGCGGCGAUCAAGCUUCUCGAGCUUAAAGGACUCAAGGAGGGCUAGCUUCUCAAUCGAUAGGGAUGGACGAAGGUGGAGCUUCACGAUUGAGCAGGAGCAUCUUGUUGCAGAACCUAAGGUUUUGAUGUCAUCCAGGAAGAAAAUUUCCUCCGAGCCAGAGUCAGAAAAAGAUUGCGUUGUUCUUGUUGCACCAAACAGCGUAGAGGAAUCCCAAGAUGAUGAUGGUAAGGAAGAAGCAACAAAGGAUGGUGAGGAAGAAGAAACAACAGAAGGGGUGGAAAUUAACAAGGACGUUGAGAAGUUAGAAAGCAGAGUUGAUGAGAAGGAUGCUGUGGAAGAACAGCAGGUGCAGAGGAAGAAGAGCGGUGAAUUGCCAGAUUGCCUCCUUAUGAUGAUGUGUGAACCCAAGCUCUCCAUGGAAGUGUCCAGGGAGACAUGGGUCUGUAGCACCGAUUUUGUCCAUUGGAAGUCUUACCAGGGACAGAAAGGCCGCAAUGGUCGCCCACAAAAGGAUGCUACUGGUAGCAACGCUGCUGCUCCGGAGGAGCUGAAGGAUAUCAGCAAUGCUCAGGACACCAGCAUUGCAAAGGCCACAGAAGAGAGUGGAGAGCCAGCACUGGUGAACUCCGCAUCUGUGCCACCUCAGAUAGUCCAGAAACCACCACCGAAACCAGCCGUGGAGCAGAAGAAACUUAAGCUAGAGCUGCCGAUGGUUGCCAGUGUGUCUACGUACGCACCGUUCGUUCUGAAGCGCUGCAAAUCAGAGCCGUUGCGGUCAUCCGCGCGCCUGGCACCCGACGCGUGCUUCUGGAAGGACCGGCAUAGGCCCCUCAAUGCCACCGGAAUCGGCUUCUGAUUCCGGCCGAGACCGAAACUGCUGGUAUGCUUGGUUAUAGCUAGCUAGUGACUCUCUUAAGUUUAUGAGCUUUGUUGUGUAAUUGUAGUGAGCUUUGUUGUGCAACAGUAGUAGUGAGCUUGUUUCAUGCUUGGUUCUCUGUAAUGUGAUGUGGACAAGGGGCAACAGAUAGUAGCACGUUAAGUUACAUCAGAUAGAUUAGGGAGGAAGGAGUAUGUGUAAAAAAUCUCUUGUUGCUUGCUUUCCUGGUUGUGCUAUUUCCUUUUUCCCCUGAUAAUCUUAUGCAGUGCUGCAAUAGUCGAGUUUUUUCCCCAAUCAAUAUCUUACAUCCUAUUUCCCUGCUUGGAUGCUACAUAUGAGAAGGUUAUCUUACUUGGGAGCAUAUUCUGUGUGCAAUCAUGGUACGGUGCUAACUGCUAAUGACUAGUGCCAAAAAAAACUGUCAAGCAUCUUUUUCUCAGUUUUUUCUGUUGGACUGUGACACCUCAAUUAUGUGUCUGUAGAGAAUCUAGUAUUCUCAAAAUAUCAGUUGUUUACUUGAGCUCUGCUUACUGUUUCCAGAAACCUUCCAAUUAGGGGGUCAUUAGAUGAAGGGGAAGUACAUCCAGUUUGUCUCUCAUUCUGGUACUUGCGUUUCUUGUUAAGGCAUGCAUAUGCGAUGGGAUCUGGGCAUUAAAAGUUUCUUAACUCCCUGCUGCUCGUACCAUAAGCCAGUGUGUAAUGUGAGUAGUACAAGAAGCAAGAAGGAUUUCAAUUCGUUUCUCUUUCGGCCAAUGUGUGAAAAUAGUACUAACUUGAGUGCUUUAACCUCUUAUUAAAGCUUUGUUUUGAGUUAACUUUAACUCUGGAUUGAGAUAUACUAAUAUACCAGUCAUUAGAUAGCACCAUAGGGUACCAAGUUGUAUCAAGUUUGGCAACAAAGCAUCAGGUAUAUAUGCAUUCAGGUGCUUGACAUGAACACUGUCCAAGCAACAAUGUUAGGGAUACUUAAACAGAGUGUGGUGGGGGACAAGCAGGUAGGGAGUAGACCACCACCACCACCAAUGGCUGCCCUAAAUGCAAUCUCCUUACCUCAAAUCAGACACUUUCUGGUCCCUAUCUCCUCUGCCUGGCUACUUGCCCAGCUCUAAUUGCUAGCUGCCUCUCUACUCUAGUGGCCGAGUGCGAUCAAAGCUCCUCCUUUUUUCCAUUUUUCUGGGUUGCUUUGCGGUGGUGCACCAUGAGUCCAUCACCAUGGCCAAAGCCAACAACAGCUAGCUUUUGGCCUACAGAAAAGAAAUCAAAGGCUAGCUUUGGGGCUUUUGGGCACUGGUAGCUGCUGCUAGCUGUUGUGCUUGCCUCAGCCUCGCACAUGUGCUGCUGCUGCUGGGUUGGUCCACGCCACGCACCACCAGCCAGCAGCAGCAGUAUCUUUGAACGGCCGGGAGAUGAGCUGGGGCCCUUUUGCCGGCAGCUUAGCAAUAUAGCCUUUCGAGCCAUUUGCAGUGCAUGAAUCACUGCACUGGUAGUAGCAGCAGCAGCAGCGCCAGCAGCAGUUGGCACUCACACCGUUGGGGACGCAUGAUUGGGUUCUGAUCUGGACUUGGGGAGAUCUCUUCAUUCUCACGAGGCUAUGCUGGCGUUCUCGCAGUGGAUUAUACUCCCUCCGUCUAUUUAAAUUUGCUCAAAUAUAAAUGUAUCUGUGUCUAAAAAUCAUUUAGAUACGUGUAAUAAAAGAUUAUUUAAUAUGGGACGGAGGGAGUAGAGAGAAUGGGCUUGUGAGGAGCUGGAUUAAUUUGGUAAGAGCACAAGCUAAUCCCUGUUAGAGGGGAUCAGAAAGAAAGGCCACAGAGAAAUGAAGUUCCUCCCACAAAAAAGUACCCUCUCCGAAUUCCUGUCAUUGUUUUAGUUCAAACAAUUUUGGAUCGGAGGGAGUACUUCUUGUUCUUAGAGAAUCCAAAAGAUGUCCCAAGUCUCCAACAAGCGCACACAAACUGAGGACCUCGAUCAAGCAUUGUGCGGAAAAUAAAAAGGGUUUUGUCUUCACUAGUUUCUUUUUUUGGUUGUUUUGUCUUCACUAAUCGGUACUACUUAGUAAAUUAAGCAUUUGUUUCCAACAACCCCUGUCACAGGUUUCUCUGCUCUUUCAUGCAUCCAAUAGCAUUCUAACGAACAACGCUAUCCGACUCAAGAUUCUCCAUGUUUUUUUAUACUGUAAAGUGUCAGACAGGCCGAGGUCGGAUGACCCUGUGUCUAGAGAAAGCUGAGAGAAGGGAGAGCAUAUAUUAACGAGAAAUUAACAAACAAAUUAAUACUCUGACGUUGUUUGCUGUAGUGGCUGGUUUGGUGGGAGAUGUUGAGGAGGAGAUCGCCUCCGUCUUAAUUUGGACUCUUUGGUGGCCUCUGUUGUCGUCGCUUUGGCACAACUCUUGUGCUCUGUUCGAUCCCUUGCACGUUCAGCUAGUUAACGCGCAAGCAAAUUAAACCAUACUCUAUCUAGCAGCUAGCUCUCCGUAUCUCCCUGAACUGCAGGUUUAUUUCGAAAAUUUAUAGAUUAUUUUUAUAAAACAGCCGACGCUAAUUAAUUAGAAACGGAGAAAGUAAGUUUUUAGGUGACAAGUGCGAGAUUAUCAAACGGUUUGAAAGUUUUUAUACUGUAUAUAGAUUCGCAUUUCUACCGUGCAAAAUAAACCCAAAGAUCGAUGUCUCCCUGUACGCACGUAAAGGCUCAAUUGGCUACUAGUGACAUGGUGCCAGUGUCCAUUUCUGCAUUUUGUUUCUAUAGCGAGGAGAUUGUAAUAGUGGGAAUGUUUGCUGGGACGUACAGUAAAGCACGUAGCCAGGACUGCGACAAGAGAAAUUAGCAACACGUCACCACUGUGUGGAGAGAAGCAAUAUGAUGGAUAGGGACGUGUAGCUAAUCUAGCUUGGCCUGGACCAUGCCCAGGAUCAAUGUAACUUUGAGACUUGAUCAUCUUUCAAGGCUCUCAUGUACCUUGCACGCACGCACAGAUAUAUACCAUCAUGGUCGAUCCAGAUAAGCUGCUUGUGGUGUGGUACUACAUAGGUAUAGCUUAAUCAUAGGUUAACGUAACUAAUCAUGUUGCUUUGCUAUGUGUCUGAAGAUGCGGUGUACGCUCGCUGUCUGAUUCCGACGGAUCAUCGACCGACCGACCUGUCCAUGCAUAUAGAGCUAAGCUAGCGCUGGUCCUGAUCGACAAGCCCGGCCAGCUCGCCGUGCCAUUAAUUCAUAAUGAUGAUAAAAUGGAUUGAUCAUAAUGUUGCUAUAGCUAAGGUUUCUUUCCUCUUUUUUGCCCCCCUCGAUCGAUCACUUUUCGUGCUGCACGCGAGGUGUUGGAUUCUCAAAGAGAUGAUCAUAGCUUUGCUUUAGCAACGCUAAAAUCUCAAUCACGCCAAACAGGCAGGGCCUAUGUAUCUAUGUGCCCCUCCGUCCAACAAAAGAUACUUGAUGUAUCUAGACAUGAUUUAGUGUAUAGUUGCAUUCAAAUUUAGUUAAAGUUGAGACAUCUUUUAUUGGACGAAGAAAUUACUGUAUAUCUAUCAAUAUUCCAGGGCAAAAUGAAUUGUUAGCAGAAAGCUUGAAAGAAUUCUAGCUAGCUAAUGGCCUAAUAUACAUCCGGAUCGAGACAGACAAGCAAGUACAGGACCACCAUGCAACACCAAGACCAUCAUACGAAUACUACUACUAACAAAAUACUAAUCUAAAACAGAUUAUUAAUUAAAUGAUUAAGGAGCAUCGGUUGCCAUGCAUGUUGGUAGCGCCAGAAUCGGGGCGCCCCAUGUGACGGCCGAUUGACCAGUCCACAGUCCCUUCCAGUCCAGAGAUUACCUAGCUGGCCGACUCAUGCAUGAGCUUUGCUGCUUGGGUCCUGCUGCAUGCUGUGAUUGUCCCGGUCUCCCAGAUUAAACAUGGAUGGAUGGAUGGAUUGAGACCUCUGAGAGAUGGACGGAUGGAUUGGUACCUGGUUUGUUGGGUGUCGGGAUGAGUUGGAUGGACGGACGUGAUUGUAUGUAUGGAUGGAGAGAACUGAGGUAGUGUGCUGCUGUGUGGGAUUUUUUGAUACCUCUGCACUGCUGACACAAGUCUCUCGUGACUGUAUACCACGAGACAGUCGUUCAACUCAUUAGUCAAUUCAGCGUGACUCGUGCUGUAUCUUAUCUGCGACAGCCGAGGACGGUCUGGUUAUCAUGUAAAGCCUGCACGGUCGUGUACGAGUUUUUUUUUUUUACAGAGGCAAUCGUACGAGUAGUGUUUUCUGGGCUAGAGCCUAGAGAUGGAGUACAAACUAGCUGGGCCUGCUAUGGCAUGGCCGCAUGGGUCACUGAUUCCCUCGUGUUCUCUCGGGUCGGAUAACAAACAAUUUAAAGGGAGGGACUGACUGACGUGGCUGCAUUACCUUCCCAAGGCAACAAAGGCCCCAAGUGUCCAUUGGGCUUCGCUUAAACGGAGGGACUGGCUGACUGACAUGUCGCGGUGCCAGUCCAAUGGGCCGCGCGGUUUGUGGCACCCGGCCGGCCUGCUGGUUACCUGGGCCUCACUUUCAGUGAAACCGAACAACUCGUUCGCUCUUGUCUCACCGCCGCGGGACGUGUUUUUUGAGCCUGCGCAGGAAAUCGUUGGUUCCUCUGUGCUGAAGCAAUUUCAGGGAGAUUCCUUCGAUAAAACACCACGCUGUUAUCUCUCUUUUGCGUUUAUGUUUUGUUUUUCAUAAGAGAAAGGAGGCAACAUGUCUCAAACGCUGGAACGACGUGUCAUCCUCCUCCAAAUCACGAAGGAGAACUGACCAGACAGCUCCGACCGAGUGUGUACGUCCCCGACUAGCUUGAUUUGUUUAGGGGACGUGGCAGGUUUAUCCGCUGCACAUUUAUCGACCGAUUGGCUGACAUUGACGUGCAUGCAUAUACGGAGUAUUUGCAUCUACGGGUGUUGACUUCAGUACUACUUCCGGGUGCUCAAUCGAUUGAUCUGCUUCUUUGGGACAACCAACCACCUGCCGCAUAUCCGGCUGUUACGUGUUGGUGACGUGUACCUGGAAUAUGUACUGCUGGACAUACAUGUCCCAGGACUGACUAGCGGCCCCUGAAAUUACUACUGGCUCGUAGCCUCGUAGGGCGAACAGCCCGGUUCAUCGCUACAGAUAGAUGGUAUUGGUACUCCAUCCGCCUGACCAAAUGUUACAUCCUGAUUCUAAAUUUUUCUUGACUUAAAUUUGCCUAAAUAUGAAUAUAUCUAUUCUUAAAGUGCGUCUACAUACAUGUAAUAUUUCGACAACAAUUUAGAAUUGGAGGGAGCACAUGUGUCUAGACGACAUACAUCCAUGUCUGAAGAAAAUUGAAUAACUUGGUAUAGGACGAAGGAAACAUGUGCAGCGCCGGCCCACGGCACACCUAGUACGAAACUACGGAGUACGAACUCGCUGGAACGACAGAGGAUGAUGUGUUGGGUCCAGCCCGUCCGUCAAAUCGGCCCAGAACAGAAAGCGGCUGCCAGAAAUGGUUCCUUCCCUACUGCGGCUGCUCCACUUUGUUUUGUACUUGAACAAGCUUAGUAUCUUACCCUUUUUUUUUUUGCGAAGAAGCUUAGUAUCUUACCUAGUGUGGUUAAAACGAGAGAUACUAACAGACAGGAGAUACAUAGACAGAUACGUCUGUGUGUGUGCGUGUAUCUGACGACGUACGAGAGGUCUCGACAGGCGCCAUCCGUCCAUUCCAUCGCUCGCAGCAAAGGCACGAUCGAGCUAGCACUCACACAGUUUCCACUGUACCGCUGCGAGCAGCUGAGCCCGCCCCGUCCACACGUAUAAACGCGCACGUCCGCGUCCAAAUAAUUUUGGACCCGAGCUGAGUGCUCGUCUGCUCGACCGCCAGCAGCAGCAGCUAUAUAGCGACCCGGACGAAAGCUGACGGGCCGAGGUUGACAUCAACGUAUACCCCCAGGAAUAGGAAGAAGAAGAGGAAUCAAAGCAGGAGGAUCUUCUUCCGUAUCACCACGGAAAACACGCUUGCAUCAGCAGAAGCACAAGAAACAAAGGUUUUUGCUAGUAGGAGUACUUGUACUGGGGUGCUCGUAAAAGUCAAGCCCGGAGGAGCAAGCAGGGAGACAUGGAGAUUUUCCCUGUCUCCGUCGACCGACCGACGGACGGACGAGCUAGUGAGGAGUGACCGUGUACCGCGGCGAUGUUUACGUGCGUGCCAAACGCCAAGGCCGCACGCCGCCGUCGUGGGGCACGCCGGACCCUGUGUUUGCUAGUACCACUAUGGCAUUAUUGCACAAAUUAAGACGUGACAUGCGGACGUAGAGCCAAAAAAAUUUAUAAGCGUGCGUGGGUCAUGUGCGGAAUUUCUGCAUGAGCAAGGCAACGACGCAAGGCCUACAUAUAUAUAUAUAUACACAUAUACCAGCAUGUGUAUAUAUAUAUAUAUAUAUGUGUGCGCGCGCGUGUGGGUGGGGAGGGGGGGGGGGGGGCGCGCGGCGCCCUUGGGACACGGCAUCGUUCAGCUAGCUAGGCACGUGCUGCAAUCAAUCAUAUAUGCAUGCUACUGAGGCUGCUGUCUUGAUCUCGUGGCUUUGCUGCAUGCGGGGACCCGAUACACACGGCAUGGAGCCAUCGGACGAGAAAGAAAGAAAGAAAGAAUGGGCCGCGCGUUGUUUGCGGUCGAUUCGAUGGAGCGGUGCCUCUGCGUGUGUGUGUGUGGCUCUGGCUGGCUGCAGAUACCACUAGCUAGCGGAGUAGAUUAGAUAUUUUCGGCGCGAUGAUUGUUACUCCCUCACUCAAUGCAGUGUGCCCCUAGGGGAUCGAGUGAGUGUCUACUCUCUCCAGCCUUUUGUGUGUAUCUUCCUGCUGCGUGGGGUACGUAGCAUAUUCAAUUAAUUCGGUAUGGUCUCUUCCCUGCUCCUGCUGCUCUAGGACAAGAUUUAUACGGAGAGUACCGCGCGCUGGUAUUAAACGUGUAGGCCGGCCGGGCGGCGUGGCAUUGUUGUCGAUCCUAGGCAUUCAUGUAGCUAGGCUCCUUUUUCAGCCGUGCAUAUUCGGACAGGUCCACCAAAUUAACUAACGCAGGCAGGCAUAUGAAGGAAUCUCGAUCUAGCAUUCUAGCUAGCUCAUUCAAUCAACCAAAAGCUGUUCAUGUGUUUGGACGCGCGCGCUCGCACGGACGGGCCGGACGGACAAUAGAGAAGCUUCCUCGCGAGAUGAUCAGCGAAAAGCGGCACAACACAAGACGCGCUCUUGGUUUCACGGCCCCCGGCGCCGUACUUAGGUUGAUGACAUCGCUCGCUGCAGUGCAUGCCCAGUCCCCGCCAGCCACCGGCCGAUUUAUAUAUCUAACGCGUCUGAUCCAUCCAUCCAUAAAUCCAUUUCAUUUAUAUAUCUAAACGCGUACGUGUGAUCCAUCCAUCCUCGAUCUUCCUGCCUGCCGGUCGAUCGGGCCGUGGAGCCAUUUCACAUGCGUCAUGCGUCUAAUUCGUUUUUCUCUUUUCUCAAACACGAUAGAGUGCAUCAUCAUCAUUCGAUCAUCAGUUUUCAAUUUUUGACGAUGCGUCAUCAUGAAUGAAUGAAUCCUAGCUUCAGCCAACGCUGACUAAACACAAGUGUCGGUCGGUCGAUGAGGUCAUGUGGCACGGCGUAUUUGCUUAAUUUCCGAUAAGGAGGAAGUUUCCCGGUCUCUGCAUCAAUCGAUGCACACAGUCUUGAUAUUAUCAUUGAAGUUUCAACUCAUAUUUUACAAUUCAAACUCAUAACAAGCUAGAAAAGAACACAGACCUCCUAGCCUAUUACUGGCUCGCAACCCAAACCAGACGAAUAAUUCUCAUGGAACUAUCUCCAAUUGGUUGCACCAAAACUCCAAAUAUCAUCUGCAUCCGUCUGAUGCAGAAGGAAAGUCUUGAUCCGGUUCCACACCGGAUAACAAAGCAACUAUCACAACAUCACCAAUUGCCAGCAGAGCGACAGCAACCACAAUGGCUACCACAACACCACCGCUUGCGUCGACAACACCCAUCCCUGCCGCAAGUCAGGCGGCAUGUCCAGGUCCAGCCACAAGCUGGCCUCCACCAACGUCAAGUCACUGACAGGCGCCGGCAUCACCACCAACAUGACCACAAACCACCCGACGGAACGACGCCGACAACAACACCGACAGCCGCGCCGCGUUGGCCAAAUCCAUAACCUCCAUCAGAAGCGACGACAAACCCACCACCAAGAGUGCCAUCAACCAAGGCAGCCAGGGCAUCACCCAAUCUGCCCUCACCUCCUUGGCCGGCGCCACAACUGUGCCCACUGACGAGGCGAAAGAUCUGCGUCCACCCUUCCCGGAUCCAUCACGACAGGAACGAGAAAGAGGGCGUCCUAGUCGCCGCUCGGCCAAUCCACACACGGCCGAGCCACCUUGCUUGGCCAACGCUGCGAGACCUCUGCAUUCCACAGCCACCACACACCGAUUAGCGACCAUCGCGCGCCGAUCUGCAGCCCUCCCGCCGACGAGCUCGAGACGAUACACCACCCACCACCGUCCACCCCACACGGUGAGAUCUGCCAUGGCGCCUUGGGCAACCAAACCAAGCGUUGCCGCCAGAAAAUCCACCUGAAAAUGCCGCUGCGGAACAUACAGCACGGGCGCAUCCUCCUCCGCUUGAUGCUGCUUGGCAAGGCUCUCCUCGAUCUUGGCGCUGAUAUGCACUAGCAGUACAUAUAUAGGUGCAGCUUGAUGACGCCCCAGCAGCGGCACUUCCCGUCGGCCACCGUGUGCAACGGUGCCGAGAGGCAGGCGGCUACCCAUGGGCGGCUUCUCGGUGUCACUUUUUUCCGGCCAAGAUAAGCACGAGGCACGAUCGCAGGUGUCGUGGUGGUGUCACGGUAGAUGCCAUAGGAUUGUUUAACUUGGGACCGAUGGACGAAGGAUGAACCGGAGGAGGGAGGACGUGAAGGAAAACACGCACAAACACACGAGCGCGCCGCGGAUUACCCAGGUUCGGAGCCCUCUUGCCGAGGUAAAAUUUCUACUCCUGCUUUGUUGUAUUAGCCGAGAUAGACAAGAUCUUACAAUGACGCUCCUUGAGCUGUAUUCUUGAGGAAGAAGAAGAAGAAGGGGAAAACCCUAGAUGCCUAAGUGCUCUCCAUUUCUCCAGGGAGGGGUAGUGCUCUAUUUAUAGGCCGACUAUGUCACACUGACAUGCGGGCCAAGUUCUAACAUCAUCUUCCUUGGGCCCCGCCAGGCACGUGGCUUGGUUCCCUCCGGAUGGCACCGCAGGGGACAAGAUAACUUUACUUUACCUGCCACCCUGCAACAAGUACUGUUGACCUCUGCCGGCUCCCGUCAGAGAUUCUCUUUCGGUGCUUCUUUUGUGCAGUCGUCUGGCACCGCUACGUAAGCGGCGACUGCUUUUCCCGCGAUAAUGAUGACGCUGCUUUUCUUGCGCCGCGUGGUCAGGAUAAGACCGUUGAGGAAUCUCGGCACGGGCCGAGAUCUAGGGGCUCGUCCUUAUCCUGCAAACUCAUAAGAUAAGAUAGUCAUGCCGGCAUAUACCCGGUAUGCCGGCUUAGUGUUAAUUUGGCUUUAUGAUACCGGCAUAGUUGACCAUGCCGACUUUGCCUUUGUCAUCUCGACUAGAGUGCGUCGUCAUGAUCCUAUCCGGGGUCAUCCCCCGACAGCAGGCGCCGCCACCAUGGCCAUAGGAGGAAGUGGUGCGGGAUCGCCCCUCCGUGAAAAACGGAUCGGACGGUUUCUUUAUCUCUCUGCCCUCCACAUUUGCUUAAUUUAAACGCGUGAAAUCAAAUUUAAGUCAUCCCGCGAACAGGGCAAAGGGCAAGCAAAAGUCGUCACCACCGACUCUCGCAAACGGAAGGUCAGUACUACUCCGUGGUAUAGUACUGAGCUAGGUCUACCGACGAUUGGUUUAUUGGUAAGCAAAUUUGAGACCGGCCGGUGUUGUGCUGCCUAGUCCACGUAGCUAGCGAAGGGCUUGGCUUUCUCUCAGAAUCAUACCACUACUGCACUACGUAUGUAUAGGAGUACUAGCGUAGAUAUACAAGUACUAGGUUCUUUGUUCUCGAUUCGAUUCGGUUCGGCGGUCACUUCCCUGCCGUGCCCUGACGAAAUUAAUAGAGCUAGCGAGCGGCCUAGCGUACGUACGUGUACACGUACAGGCAGCAGGGCGCGCGAAAUGGAUUACGGAGCACCAAGCAUUCAACGUAGGCCGGCCGGCCGGCGGUGCCAUUUUUCUGUCGUACGUACGUAGCUUAUUGCAUUUGCAUGAAGCCAUUUUUCUGAUCAAGAAAGAAUGAAAGAAAGAGUUGACCAAAAAAUACAGAGAUGGAUGGACCUCUUGGCUAUUGCAUUUGCAUGCAUGCACGAUUGAUUUACAGUACGGCUUGACGUCCCUGUGUCCCCGCCACUGAUUUCGUUCAUUUGGAAACGAGAAACGCAUUGAAUUUCAACGAUACUAUAUCUACGCAUUUGAUCGAUCGGUCGAAGCCAUUUCACACGUGGCGCGCAUGUGCUUGGGACGAAAGCAACGUGCGCGCCAGCGUGUUGCAUGCCGCUUCAUAUUUUUUACUCCAACGCGCGGGGCAUGCAUAGUACUAUUGCAUAUAGAAAUGUGUUCCCAGGCUCAGGCUGACAAAUUAACCUGUGAGAUUGAGAACACCAUCGAUUUCACGCAUGUGUAACAUACAUACUCCUAUAUACUCUAUAUACUAGUAUGUGCUUCAUUCGCCUCGAUCGAGCAUCUAUAUUGCGUAGCAUAAGAGGUGGUUUUAUACAGUAUAUGGUCUUUAAUUUUCUCAUCGGUUCUACUCCGUAUAUGACACUAUAUUAUUGUAAACAAAAUAAUUGAUGUUGAGGAAUUGAAAGACGGUAACGUGAUAAGAGCAUUUGAAGAAGGCUUGGCUCGAUAAGCAAACAUGCAUGACAGCAGACGGCAUGCAGCCCCAGCUGCAAACGUGUAUAUGCUCGUUGUCGUUGACCCCCGUGCCAUAUAUAUAGAUCGAGUGAUAGAGCCCAUCGAUCGUCCUCGCCGGCCGAUAAUAAUUGUUUACGGAACGGCCAGAAAAGCGUUCGAUCCAUCGUGUGGCUCAUAUGCUCUCCAUGUUAGUUAUAAAUAUACUGGAGUGCCUUUUUGUCUUUCACGCCUUAUAGCUACCAACUUGUUUAAUUGGAUCGCAAUCCAAGUAAAUUUUAAAGUCAUCGAAGAUAUAUCAGAUCGAUCGACCACCGGUAUGAUUAGUUGUACUACUCGUUUCAGUUCUCUUAAUUGUUGACCACCACACACGCUUAAUUACUACUCGAUCCAGUUAACGUCGUGUUGCCUGCAUGCUGCCACCGACACCCUCAUAUAUGGACCUAGCUUCUCCGUGCAACCCGGCGAGUUCAACGGUCCAGAUCAAUAGAGACAACCGCUCAAAGCAAUUCAUCAAGAGACCUGUGCACGCGUCAUCAAUUCAUCAAUUUUGUUUUUCAAAUAACGUCAUUGCGAAUCCUUCAUCUAAUAAUGGAGACGAGAGAAAUGUCGGUCAUGGAUGCCAUUUAAUUAAUCAAGCUUGCGAAUAAUGUAAGAUCAAAGUUAUUAGACGAUCGACAUACAUCACCAUCGACUCCCUGCAGCUCUCCCAAGGGAAGAGUAUAUGAGAUAACACGUUCAACCGGUCCAUUAGGUUGUUAAUUACUCCUAAAACAAUUUCAGAAACCUGCUUAGUUAACGAGCCAGAUGAGGUAACAAAAUGAACAAAGCACGCGUGCCACACAUCGUCAGAGUUUACGCCUCGAAUCCUCGAUUAGUUGGGCCGUCAGCCUCAGAAGACUUUUGACGGCCAACGAUAACGCGCCACCUACCCCGAUCCACCCCACCAGUCAAGAAUUAGCAGUCGCUAUAGCAAACACGUUUUUUUUAUUGUAUUAGUAUUAUAUAUUUCUGGCUAGAACAUGUCGCUAACACAAAAUGGUACCACCACCAAAUGCUGCCGAAUUCUAUUAUUAGUACUUUGUUGGGGAUCUCAUGGAUAUAUACUCGUUGAGAUUCUAGUCCACUCAUACGCGAUCCCAAGGAUGAUCAAACGCUUAAGCUACACUGUGCCACUGUGGUGUUGAUUUGAGACGGGUGCUUAUAUGGGGCUAGUCUUCGGCAUAUUCCAAAUGGCCAUGUUGGCCAAAGUGUAGUCCUCCCUCCGUAGGUCAUGACAAGAGAGGGGAUGAUGUGUGAUUAAUUAAUUUGCAGGUCGUGUUCAUUGCACAGUUUUUUUUUACUUCAUAAUGUGAGCUCCCGCUAUUUCCCAUUUCUUGUAAAAAUAUAUUGCGCGAAAACUAUGGAAAUUGUUGUUGGUGCUUGGUUUGUUAAGUCAAUUUUUAGAAACAUGUGACCGGGCUAGAGCCGAAAUAUACUAGAGUGAUUGUUUGUCGGGUCGAAAAGUAUGCAUUUUUCUUUUCAAAAUAGGCAUAUGAAUUAGUCCUAAAUCAAACUUGUACAUUGGAGGAUUGAACAUUUAUGUGGAGUAUAUUGCUAAUUGGUCCAAAAGUGCAUGAUUUGACCACAGCGCAUAGAUCUCAAAUGAGACCACUCAAUUGUGAAGUUACACCCUACUCUAUACCCUUUUCCACUCAAUUGUGGAGUAUACAUUACUAGCUCCUCAACUCCCAUCCCGUUAGCCUAGCUACCUACUCCCUCCUUCCCAUAAUUUUUUAUGAGACAGAGGGAGUACAAUGACAGCAAGCGUAUACCUACACAGAUUGUACUGUCAUUAAAAAAAAUUCACAUUCAUCGGCACGUCAUUUUUAUUUUCUUUACUUUCCCAUCAAACUUAACUGCGAGUGCGUCCACGCGUACACAAAUUAUAGUGGCAUUCCUUAUAUCUUUCGUGUCGUACUUAGGUACAAGUGAGUGCAUGGGUAUUCCGGACUCGCUCCCUUAUCUUUCUCGUCAUACUUAGCUACAAGUAAGGGCACGGGUAUUCUGGACUCAGUUCAUUAUCCUUCUCGUCAUACUUAGCUACAAGUAAGUGCACGGGUAUUCCGGACUCGCUCCCUUAUCCUUCUUGUCAUACUUAGCUACAAGUAAGUGCACAGGUAUUCCGGACUCGCUUCCUUAUCUUUCCGGUAAUACUUAGCUACAAGUAAGUGCACAGGUAUUUCGGACUCGCUUCCUUAUCUUUCCGGUAAUACUUAGCUACAAGUAAGUGCAUAGCUAUCCAGACUGUACCAGCAUUUUUUGGAAGAAAAAAAAAACACUCAUUCAUCAGCACAUCGACUCGCUUCCUUAUCUUUCACGUUAUCUUUCCUGCCAUACUUAGCUAUGAGUAAGUACACGGCUAUCCAGCCUGUACCAACACUUUUGAAAACAAGCACGCAUUCAUCAGCAAUCGACUCGCUUCCUUUCCUUUAGCGCCUCUUUUACGUUACCGUAACCCGCUCAACAAUUUUUCUCAUACGCGCCGUGUCGCGGUGCGAGCGCGGUGUCCGUGAGUUGUAUGCGCGUACCUCGUGUUCUAAAGAUUUCUCCUUUUUGUAAAACAUUCUAAAGAAAAAAAAAUCGUUGCGGGCUAGCGGGUCACGCCGGCCCGGGUCCGGGCUUUGCCACAGGACCACACCACUUCUGUUGUCCGGACUCUCACGCAAAGCGACGUCAAACACACCAAACACCCGGAUCCAAUAACGCAAAUACCAGAAAUACCCUUACUACUUCCCCAGAACUACUCGUUGUACCACUUGCCACUGGGAGAUACUAGAGGGGCAAGACCGUCUUUAUGCGCCCAAGUCGUUUUACUAAUACCACCCACCUCGCCGCUGCUCUGCUCCUCUCUCCUCACCGUGCUUCCUGCCUCCCUGCUUCGACUUGAACUUGUUCUCCUACUCCUCCUUCUCCUUACGACCUCGUGGGGCGGCGAGGCGCGUCCGUUUCCCCCGGCGAGAUCUCCCCACCAUGCCGGAGGCAAAUGCGGCUGCCCGCGGCGGCGGCGGCGGCGGGGAUGCCCGGGCGGCGGAGCAGCGGAGCAACAACAAGGUAGAGAUGCUCCUCGGAUACUCUGUUCCGGAGCGAGAGAUUUAACUUCCUCCUUUCUCUUUUACUUGCCAUAUUGGUAGCCUUCCCGUGGAUUUCUGGGUGCGCCUGAGCUCUGUUGUGCUUGUGCUGCGGGCUCGUGUUCGUGUGUGCUGAUGGAAUGGAUAGAGAUGCUCUGCUGGAUUUUGGAUAAAGAUGCGGGUUUCCGGGUGUGCGAUUGAUUCGGAUGGCGGCGGGCUCUGGUGACACAAACAGGAAGAGAAUUCGUUUCCUGGCCGGGAGGAGGCAGAGGCACCACCAUGAAUUGUUUCCUUUCCGGAUUCACGGCGAUUUCUUGCCUUGUUAGGAGAUCCGGAUUAUCCAGAAAUCCUCGGCAUAUCUGCAAGAUAUCCGGUUUCUCUUUGCUCAAGGCAUUGAAUCCUUGCAAAUCCGCCUUGUUUUUGACGCUUCCUCGUUAACCCAAAGAUAGCAGCGCGGAAAUUCUUCGCUUGCUACAGUCUGCUCCCUGUGGAUUCGGUGAGGAGUCGUCUUGGUAAAUGAUGGGUAUUGGAUUCGGUGACUGGGUAUGUUUAUCCUAAUCCAAGUCGGCGCGGUAGUCUCUUCCCUUCUUUCCUUUUAUUGGAAAGACAGUCAGCGCUGCACAUAUAUUCCUCGGAAUUCAUGCCCAUCAAGGAGGCGUAAAUAUGUUUUCCGAUAUUUUUAGCCGAGAAGGGGUAGCUUUUUCAAGAGUUGCCUUGCGGCAAGAGUUGUUGAGCGAUCAGUGGUUUACCACAGCAGGAGGCAAAGGCCAGUGCUAUCUUGUUCCACCAGGGACUACUGUUUUUUUAGUGGUGAGGAAGCUUCUGCGAAAGCAUCUGGUAGUUGCCGCUUUACCAUUUUUAGAGAGGGUUGACGCAGAUGGGUUCCUCGUGCGAUUUCAUCUCUAUGAUUGCUUUUUGUUAUUUACAUGCUCUGAUUAUGGCGUUUCAUCAGUUGGUGUAGGUAUUAUUAGGAGUUCAAAUUAUAAGAUAUGUGCCUUUUUUUUUCCAAGUUGCCUUUAAAUAUGUCAUUUUAGUUUUGAGGAAGAAAAUUUGUUGCGUGCAGUGCACAAGGCUAACUUUUCCGACUGAUUUUCAGAAUUCGGAAGAGAUGGGUUUCUUCAGUGAAUAUGUGGAUGCCAGCAGAUACAAAAUCCUAGAAAUCAUUGGGAAAGGAAGCUACGGUGUUGUAUGCUCAGCUAUUGACCAAGAGACUGGUGACAAGGUAGCAAUAAAGAAGAUACAGAACAUCUUCGAGCAUCUAUCCGAUGCUGCUAGGAUCCUCCGUGAGAUCAAGCUUCUCCGGCUUCUACGGCAUCCUGAUAUUGUCCAGAUCAAACAUAUAAUGCUACCGCCAUCGAGGAGGGAUUUCAGAGACAUUUAUGUUGUCUUUGAACUGAUGGAUACAGACCUCCACCAAGUUAUCAAGGCUAAUGAUGACUUAACAAAGGAACAUUACCAGUUCUUUCUCUAUCAGAUGCUUCGUGCGCUGAAAUAUAUCCAUACUGGUACGGAUCUUUAGAUAUCCCCCCUUUACCUUGAAAGGACUUCUAGUACUUCAAUGUUUAGAAUGAGCAUCAACAGUUCUGACUAGUACUUUAUUGCUUGACUGCUCGUUGAAUAUUGUUUUUAUCUAUGUUCUGAUGAUUAAUCUUUAUGUGGCUGCAGCCAAUGUUUAUCAUCGCGAUUUAAAGCCAAAAAAUAUAUUAGCAAAUGCUAACUGCAAACUGAAGAUAUGUGAUUUUGGACUAGCAAGAGUUGCAUUCAAUGACACCCCUACAACAGUUUUCUGGACGGUAUGUUACUUCUACAUUUUACUAGAUUUAGUUGACAAUACUUAUACUUUGUUAAUUCUUUUGGAUAAAUUGGAUAGUGUGCUGUGUUCCGUACCAAAGAACGCUACUUGCAACUUAAGCCUCACUGUCUUCUCCAACUUAACUUGUAGGACUAUGUUGCCACUAGAUGGUACAGAGCUCCCGAGCUCUGUGGUUCUUUCUUUACUAAGGUAAUUAAAGUUUCUUCAUCCUGUGGUUUUGCAUAUUUGGGUAUUCUUUGCGCCACUUUCUCUUUCUCCUACGUUAGGGUUGUGCAUCCUACGGAAAGAUGUUUAAAUUGUAGCUAUGUGUUUCCUUUCGUUUCUCCUUUGAUGCAGUUUUUGCUGAUAGAUGCUUUAUUACUGUGUCAUCAUCAUGGUUCAUGGUCAUCAUGUGAGACAUACAAUGCAAUCCCAUAACAUCAUACCACGCCUUUUUGCUAAAACAAUCGAUAUUGUGAAUGUGGUAUGCCUGCUCAUACUUGAGUUUUCCCCAAAUUAUCUAGUUCGCAGGCUGUGUUGUUCUAUUGGAACUGAAUUAACAUCCUAAAUGGUUAUUAUUAGGUUUUCAUUGUCCCUUUGUUAUGUUUGGAUACAUCACUGGUUUUAAAGAGGUCUAGCAUCACUGGUUUUAACAGGGUGCCUGUUUUGGCACUAUAUUUGUGUACAUGCUCAUAUCAUUACUUUAUGUCUGUCAAAUCUGCUAUCUUUUGUUUUCAGUUCCUAUGUUAAGUUGAUGAUACUAAGCUAACUCCUUCAUUGCAGUAUUCACCAGCUAUUGAUACCUGGAGUAUCGGUUGCAUUUUUGCGGAGAUUUUGACAGGAAAGCCUUUGUUCCCUGGUAAAAAUGUGGUUCACCAAUUGGACUUGAUGACUGAUCUCUUAGGUACACCAUCAACAGAGACAAUUUCUCGGGUAUGAUUGACUAUUUGUGGAAAUGGUAUCAUGUUGAAUACUCCAGCAUAAGUUGUUCCAAUUCUCAAAUGUUGUUUGCUCCUUACUUUGAUUACUGCAGAUUCGAAAUGACAAGGCAAGGAAGUAUCUGAGCAGCAUGAGGAGGAAACAGCCAAUACCUUUUUCAGAAAAAUUCCCCAAUGCAGAUCCUUCAGCGCUCAAGCUCUUAGAAAGGCUUCUAGCAUUUGAUCCUAAGGAUCGACCAACUGCUGAAGAGGUAGUCAUAUCUUAAUGAAACACAAUUUUCAUGUUAAUAUUUUGUGCUGUCAUUUGUUUUGCUUCAAAUCAUAUAUUUACGGUUUAUAUAUUAUUCUAACAAUUGUUCUGUGCAUAAUCAGGCAUUGGCUCAUCCCUAUUUUAAACGUCUUGCAAGAGUGGAGAGAGAACCAUCAUGCCAACAACCAAUUUCAAAAACGGAGUUUGAGUUUGAGCGAAGAAAAUUUACCAAAGAAGACGUCAAGGAACUUAUAUUUAGGGAGAUAUUGGAGUAUCACCCAAAACUUCUCAAGGAUUACAUGAACGGUUCCGAAAAGACAAGCUUUCUAUAUCCUAGGUUUCUACCUUGACAUAUCUUGUAGUCUCUUAUCCCUCUGUAAUUUUGUCUGUGUAGCAUUAUUCACAACUUAUGCCCUUGACUCUUGAUUUUUCUGUUAUGCAGCGCUGUUGACAAUUUCCGGAGGCAAUUUGCGAACUUAGAGAUAGAUGGAGGAAGGAGCGGGGCGGCUGACAGGAAACAUUUUUCUCUCCCGAGGUAAGCUUACAUUAUUACAGUUCUUCUGAAUGUCACCAUAGCCUGUGUUAAAAUUGAUUAAGAACCAAAACGCCUUAGUUAAUGGUCUUUUUCACAAAGUAAGCUUGCAAUACUUCAAAGAUGUAUCCAUGUAUGGUAUACAUGGAGAUCUUAAGUGCUUGCGUACUUGUGAUCUUGGCAGUUUCUGAAAUUUGAUGAUUUGUUCGACAAUCUGCAGGACUACAACAGUCCAUUCUGCGCCAAUUCUUCCAACAAAUGGUCCAACCUCUCAAGUUCCUCAAAGAAUCCCAACAGGUAACUGAUUCUAUUUACUAUUUGUCACUUACUUAUUUGUUUUUUUGUGUACUUCAAAGAGCAUCAAUCUAAUGUACUUCAUCGUUGCCACUGUCGCAGCUAGACCAGGGAGAGUGGUUAGCUCAGCAAUGCAAACGGACAAUCCAAGCGUCUCUGAUCGACACAAUGGACGAAGAGUAGCCAGGGAUCCGGCAGUUCCUCCAGCAGCUGCCUACCACCUGAAGUCAGACUACUCUGACAGACAGCAUCAGCAGGAAUUUGAGAAGGAUCGUGUGCGGCCUGACAGACAGCGUCAGGAAGAGCUUGAGAAGGAUCGCAUGCAGUACAGGCCAGGGCAUCACUCCAUGGAUGCCAAGGUUGCACCAGAGAUAUCUCCAUACAUGCGGUCUUCGCCUUACUACAUACCUCCGUUCAAUGGGAUCGCCGCGGUUGCAAGUGGAUACAGCAAGGUUGCUGCAGUCACAAGGAUGUACUAGAGCAAUGGCCAGUCGGGUUCGCCGUGCCUGCCUUUGCUGAGCGUGAGAAGGGAGUGAGACCAGCCAUGAUUGACAUUCAAGGCACAAAUUCAGAGCGUAAGUCGGUGGUCCAUAGAUGAUCAAGUGAUGCAAGCCAUGGAUGCCAAGGAAGAACUUCUGGCUGUGAAAACGGCGAGCAUCGCCCAUGUCCAUUGCUGUAGAUACUGUGUGCCAAUCUUCUCUUCUUUCUAGAAGAGGGAAGAAAGACAGUGAAUUUUCUCCUCUUUUUAAUUAGGAUUUAGGGAACAGGCGCUUUUGUAUAUAUUACAGCGAGUUCUGCUGCUCGCUGCUGCUGCUGCUGCUGCUGCUGCUUGUGUUAACAGAUUCAAACAAUCCUCUCAGAGGUGAAGUAUCUCUGUUCAAGAGGAAUUUUAAGUUCUGGAGUUCCUUUGCCAGACACCUUUUAUGGAAUGGUCGUAGCUGUGAUGAAUUGCUAGUUGUGAUGGGUUAGCCGUGAUUUUUAAUCCUCAGUCUGGUUGUGAGUACUAUUUCAGUACAACAAAGGAAUCCUUAAAUUUUGUUCUCUUGCAUCCGGAAAAAAUCAAUACCGGUACAUAAAAAUCAUUGGAUAUAUAUAUAUCAUAUUAGUUGUGCCUAUGUACAGUCCUACGGUACAUUUUUCAGAAAAAGGGCACAGAGUUCACUAACCACUACUCAACAAUCUCUAUGACGCAUAGCUUCUCAGGAGAGCAAGAAUCCAAAACACUUGAAACAUCUGUAAUCAGCCGGUGAGAGUUCACCAUCUCUGGCUGGACGGCGACCCACUGCCUGUCAGCAUGCUCGACAUGUUCAUGCUUCUCAGGGUGGGCAGAGAACCUGACCUUGCUAACAUCUCUGCACAUCUUGUUCAAGUGGUCGAUGGAAAGAAACAAAUCAAAAUGAUCAUCCGUUUUAUUGCUGGUCUUGUGGAGCUUGAUGCCGACAUCCACGCCACGAGAACUUGCAGUGCCGAAGAGCAAAGGAUGCCCGAGGACUAGUCCGCCAGACAAGCUGCAUAUCUGUCGAAAGUAAAAUUUGUUUCAGAUGUCAGCUCGUCAUUAGAUUGUUCAAGCUCAAAUUCUCGAACAGCAAAAGAUUUGAAAUGCUGGCAUGCAUAUUGCUGUUGCUUAGCAGAACAAGUUUUCAGUUGCAGAUUGCAGAGCAAGAUGAAGUUUGGUAACUGGAUAUAACCAGAAUUUUCAAAUAGGCAAUGUAUAUUUCAUCCAACAAACCAGACCUUAUGUGGAGUUUUCCAUAAUUUCAAACAAAUACUAAUUCAACACAACAAAAAGUAAAUAAGUGAGAGGGAAGCACGAAAUGAGGGAAAAUUAGGUCAAUGGCACAUGAUCAUACCUGUACAUACUCUAUGCCCAUUGUAUUCAGUGCGUCCAAAAUUUUAUUUGAUGAUAGCGAGCUGAAAAUCGCUCCAGUUCCUGCUGGCCUUUGAAGUAUCUCCCACGGGGAUUUCAGCAGAAUUUUUUUACUCUUUAGCUCAGAAGAUAGACCGACAACUGGAAGUUUCAUCUCUUCAAGGACCCAUACCUGCUCAUUCCAUGAAACAUUUAUUGUAAGCAGAGCUUGGCCAUAUUGAGAUACCAUGUUAUAAACGAAUAGAACUUUAUAUCGGUGGAGAAUCUAUAUUAAUAACUGAACAUAACGGGGAUCUUUCCCUAUUUGCCAUCCAACUCUCUUAAGACUGAUAAUCUAAUAUCCAGACACGGACAAAUUACUGUGGAUAAAGCAACAAAGAUUCUCACAACGCUAUGGAGAAACUGGAUAUACAAAGAAUCCACAUGACGAAUGCGGAAAAAGUAUGCAAGAAUAGAGCACAGAAACAAUAUGUGUACAACUGGAUUGAUGAACAUACCAGCAAGCUUGUAUACUAAAGAACAAAAUUCAGGUUUUCCGUGCACUUUAGAACAGUCUGAAACAAAGCUGAAGCAUUGCUUCUCUGGGCUGGCCUAUGAUCAUUGUGGAAAGCACAAGAACAUAGUGUGUGCAGUUCCAAUAAGAAUGUGGAAUCUAAUAAGACUGCCAAGUUAUUGAAUAAAAAAAUAGAAACAAAUAGUCACAUUGGUUGACCCUUUUUUUUACCUUCUGAGUGUCAAAACCAAAAUAGUCAUUCUCCACCAAGUAGUUCCUAACUGAAUCCACAUGAUCGGCUGGAGAAACAAUAAUGAAUGGGGGAGACAGAUGAUUUUCAUCAACCUGCAUCAAGCAAAAAUGGACUGUCCAUAUAUUAGUAGUUUUUGUAGGUGGAACUAAUAGGAAGCAAUCAGCUGAUACCAAUUACAAAUAUAGCAAACAAACAGCAACCAACUGAUAUCCACUGUAAAUUUUGUCCUCGAAUGAGCAGAUUAGUAGUUCGGAUGAUAUAUUCACCAAAGUAUAUUCCUUGUAAUAAAGUGAGCUGCCCAAUUAUAUCAUAGCACAAUGACAUUGGCAGCAAAGGAGACUGGGUCAACCUUUAACAUAAAGAAUCAUGAUAGUUAGCAGUUCUCAACUUUCCCUACAUCUAUUAUGUUCUUCGCAACUUUAGGCAACACAUGAAACAACCAAGAACUGUACCUGUCAGUCUGUCCUUAUGGCAGCAUGGUCAUAAAAUAUUCAGCUCAAAUACAGAAAAACCUGCAGUGGCCAUCCACGAAAAAUGCGUACCUUCAUUAACUCACUAAAAGAACUAAGCAAUUUCCGAAACUCAGCAUCCAGAACAUCAGAGUCAGAGCAACUUGUAACAAGUAUGAUUGCUGCUUUUGACUUCCGAAGGAUCUCACGGCCUAUGUUAAAUUCAUUACUGAAGACCUGCUUCCCUUUUUCUCCAUGGUUCAUGAGGGUCUUGUAAGGUAUUCUCAUCACAUUUUUUCUUGGUGAAGAGGAAUUUACAAGAACGUUUGUUGAUGUGCUGAAAAUUGCAAAGUUUCGAAGAGUAAGCUGCAGCUAGAUUAAGAAAUCACUAAUACCUACUCCCUCCGUUCCAUAAUUCUUGUGUCAAAUUUGACCAAAAAUGGAUGUAUCUAUUCCUAAAAAGUGUCUAGAUACAUGUAAUAUUUCAACAAGAAUUAUGGAACGGAGGGAGUAUUAUUUUACUAAGAUAACAUAAAGGUUGAUAUGAUUACAUAUAGGAGCAUUAGGAACUGCAAAAAUAUGUGUACAGAAAGUCUUUUGUGAAAAGUGAAGAGCAAAUCAGCUUCUUUUGAAAAUCUGCAGGACAGAGAAUAAUGGGAUUCACACCGCACAAUAUGCACCUGUCAAUUUGCUUGCUGACACAAUGCAUUGCAUGCUUGAACAAUUGAAAGUCAAUGGACCCAAUCUGUUCUGCAAGUGAAGCCUUUUCAAGUUUGUCUCCUGAUAGCAAACCUUCCAGAAUAUGGCCCUGUUCCAUUUCCUGCAGUAUCUUCUUCGCUGCAGUUAUGCGACGCUGUAGCUUCUUCUUUUCCUUCCAAUCCUGUAAAAGUUCAAAAAAAAUGGUCAGGUUUAAAAAUAACAUGGCAGGCAAUAACAAAUGACUCAGAUCAUUGCAUUGAUAUUGGUUAGAACCUAAAGCAUGACAGUUCAGUGUACACUUCAGAAAUGCUCUUUAAAAGAACGGUUGCAUAAGAAUAUAAGAUGCAUCUACUAUCUGCAAUAGUUAUGAAAGCUGCCUGUAUCAACAUUGUGACUCUUAAGAUCUGACAUGUUCUUUCUUUUCAGUUCAAGUUAUGCUCUGUAGAAGGGAUCAUGGCAUGCAUGAAAAGGAGACGCGGACCUAACCAUCGUACGCCUUUCUUUUUUUGAUCUUUCAGGACGCCUGUUGAUCUCAAGAAGCCCCUUUGGUGGUGUAAUCCACAUCUCUCUACUCUCCAUAUCAAUAUCAGGAACAAUAUCUUCAGCAAAUGGAAUCCACACAUGCUCACGGGAUGGAGUUGAAUCCUGAUUUUCUGAAUUUGGCUGAACAGCACUCUCAGCAGAGCCAACCAUAACCUGGAGAAGAUCGCCACCUCCAAAGUUGAAGACCUGAGCAACUGUUCCAACAAGCUUUCCCGUGUCCUAUUAAGGAAAAUAGAAACAUUAACUUUGAUAUCAAAAUUGUGAUGAAACCUCCCACGGAGAAAAAAGGCAUCAUAUUGUGUCGAUGCCGGUGAACAUUUUGAUGGGGGUGUUUACUUUUAGUGGGUGGAAAGAACAAUGUGGCAAGGUAACAAUGACUGGUUCCAACAGUACCAAUAAAAUAAUAAUUGCAUAUGAUAUCACAGCUUUUUUACAGGAAAAGGUAUAUGGUACUGGUAUUUAAUGCCAUGUAAUCUGAAGUAUCAUAUACAACAUUACAUAAGGACACAACCAUAGUGCUAUUUUACAGGAUAUGUGUUCAUUUAAUUUAAGUACUGAAGGGCCCCAACCUCCCAGAGAGCAAGCAACAUAUUACAUCUACUUUUCAUCCAAUUAUCAACUGUAUUUUAGUUCUGCAUAGGCAUCAAUUAUUUACAAUGUAGAUACUGCUGCGCUUUUACCUUUGCUCACAUUGUGGUUUCUUUUGUUUUUACUGAAAUAAACAAAUGAAGCACCACAGACUAAUGGAGUGAAAACAUCAAGGAAGAAAAUGUACCUUGACAAUAACACUCAUGCCGACGAGGUCACGCGAAUAUAUUUCGUCCUCCUCCAUUUCUGGCCUAUCCUCAGAUUUCACAAGUAUCGCUGAACCAACUAUUUGCCUGGCCUAAGAAGAGUUUGGAACGAAUUUGCAUCAGACGCUAACCAAACACAUGACAACUCAUAUCACAGCUAGAUGAUUACUUGCAACGUUCGUUCCAGAAAUUAAACAUGGCCAGUAACUACGCUAACAUUAUUACUAGUUCAGUCAGACAGAUGGAUGAGACAGAACAAGUGGCUCUAUUGGAGUGCAGCAGAAACAAACAGACCUCGUCCAAGGAAUCGACGCCAUCAAAGCGCACGAUCCAAGCCUUCUUCCCCGUGUGGGCUUUUCCUCGAACAAGGUCGAACUCCCUAACCUGCAUCUUCCCGGCAGCACGAGCCCGCAGCCACCUCUUCCCCGGCUGCCGAAUUCGAACAGACAAAUGAUAACGGGGAAUGUGAAAUUCGAGCGCCAACUAACAUCAAACCGACCAGACUAGCAGGAACUGCGAGGGAAGCUGGGGGGGAGAGAGAGGGUACCGUGGCGAAGCGGAGCUGGGGGAAGUCGGUGCGGGGCGACACGAGGACGUCGCCGCGCACCCCGUGGGCGCCGCUCACGUAUCCCACCUCCACCAUAUCCUCCUCAUCCAUAAGCUCCUCAUCCCCCUCCUCGUAGUCUUCCUCUUCCUCAUAAUCCUCCUCCUCUUCCUCGUCCUCGUCCUCCUCCUGCUGCUGCUGCGCGUGGCUAGGGCCGGAGAGGAGAGCGGCACCGGGGCGGGGGGGCGCGAGCGCGAGGCGGCGGGGAUGGAGGCGGGGGAAUGGCGCGGGGAGGCGGAGGUACGGGGAAGGGUGGAGCGGGAGGGAGAGGGAGACCGGCGCGGAGGUUGAGGCGGAGGCGGGAGGCGCCAUUUGCACACCGCGAGGGGAGCUGCCGGUGCCGGCCCGGGUGUUUGCCGCUCGGAGACGAGACGAGCGACAAGAGGAUAGAAGAGGCUCGGAGACGAGGGAAGGUAGGUGGUGGUUCGGGGUUUAGACGCGGCCCGUCGUCGGGUUUAGACAUGGCUGGGCUGUAGAGCCCGCGAGGUUAUUUAAUACGUAGCCGGGAGCUCAAUUUCGUGUGUUUACGAACCCAAGCCCACACCCCUAAAAAAAGGAGCCCAAGCCCAUUACUAAUCGCGGCCCAAUUCUUGUUAGUUUUCGUUUUUCUUUUCAUUAUUCUUCUUCACUUUUAUUUUUCCUUUUUCUGUAUUUUUAUUAAUUUUCGACCUACUGUAAAAGUUCAUUUAUUAGUACUUUCACUGUGGUGACAAAUACAUGAGUAUUUUUUUUUCUUGAAGUAUACGAACAAGAGGGUAACAUGUUUCGAACAUUGUUGCACAUUAAUGAGGACUGUUAAUUAUUCUCGGCGCACUGAUCAAAAUCUUCUUCUCCGUCUCUGGAGGUGAAUCACUCUCUCCCCCGGUGCGAUCCCAACACUGACAGUCCGGAGAGGAAGACUAGCUGUCGAACUCGGAGAAGAAAGAGAGAGCCUGAUUUUAUAGUUUUAUAUGACAACACCUGGUUUUAGUUAGUUACGACAUAAUUAAGUAUUCUUCUGUCCAUAAAUAAGUGACGUGGAUUUGUACAAGAAGUGCUGUUCUUCGGUCACGUGCAUACGGGGAAUUCUGGUACCAGAGAUCCUCGUACUUGGUCUAGCACGUACGAACAAAGCUAUAGCUCUCUAACUCGAUAUACAUUUCCCUUGCCACACAUUAAACUGGAUGCGACCGGCCGGCCGGCCCCGCGAUUGCUUGGCCAAUGCUUGCCGUUUGAGUCCUCCCGAAGCUAGCGAGGCUGCAUGCAUGCAUGCACGGAUGAUGGAUCAGCUGGGCUUGCAUGAAUGCAUGCAUUGCGCACACGGCCGGCCGGGCACACAGACACGUACGCCGUCGCUCUCGCCGGCGGCGGUCGGUGGCUUGGCUUGGCUUGCAAAUGCAGCUAGCUAGCAUUAAUGGAACCGAAACGCUCGCCGUACCACGUGUCCACGUCCAUCGCCGUUCCAUAUAUCUCGAUCGAUCGGUCGAUUAAUUUCCUUUCGGUUCAAAGCUUUGCUCCAUAUAUCGAUCUCCCUGACGUACGUCGAUUAUUAAUGGCAUGCAUGCAUAUGUCUCAAUUAAAUUUUGUGGGUGGUCGAUCGACGCUGAUGGCUAAAAUGAGAUUAAUGCGAUUAACACCGUACUGGCCGAUCAAUGGAAUGCGUUGUCCUGUCUACUCUAGUCUCUCACCUGGCCAGGAAUAUAUAGAUAGUUUCCCUGUUUUCUACAAACUCGACCAAAUUAAAAAAAAUUGAUUUAGUAUAAAAGUAGAACAUUUUAAACUUGAGUAUUUAGAGAGGGAGAAAGCUACUCGAGUAACUAAGGAGCGUGGACUCUUUAUCCAUCCGACGGUCAGCAAACAGCGAUACUACUCCUACAAAGCUAGGCAUGCAUAUGCAUGCAGCAGCUAGGAUCAAAGUCUACGCGUGCAGUGGCCGGGUUGCCUUCAACGUGGAGGCGGUGCCAAUAACGCGACCUACCUUUAUGGUUCUAGCCGUAGGAUGCUGCUUUGAGAUAUGUGCCAGUUUGUAAUUUGCUAUGUUCUAUACAUUAGACAGAGGUGAUUAACAGAGAAAUAGUACAACAGUCUGACUUUUUGGGAUGUGACCGCUGACACCUUUUUAUCUUUCUCUUCUCUCUGCUCUACCCUUUCUCUCUCUUUUCUUUUCUCUGCUCUACUUUUUGUCAGUCACAUACGUAUUUUCUUUUCCUCUUCUCUUUCCUUUUCGGUGUAUUUUUUGUUUUUUUUUCUUUCUUUUCGGAUGAACUUUUGAAGUACCACCUAAUGUACCUCGUAAAUAUGUAGUACCUCGUUAGUACUUAGUAACUCGUUAACUUGUUUUUAAGUAAAUUGUGAUACAUGAAAUGUACCUUCUAAGUUUUUAAGUACCUCGUGAAAAAAUAAAGAUUGCGUACAUCAACUCGUAACAGUACGUCAUGUACUAGAAGAAAAUGAAGUAUCUCGUCAAUACCAAGACUAUGUACAUCAACUGAUGCUAUGUACCUUGUCCCUUUUUAAGUACUUUGUCAAAAUAUCAAAACUGAGUACAUCAAUCUCAUGUACCAGGAAAACAAAUCAUGGUAGGCACAUAACUCAAAGAAAAAACCAAGAAAUCCAUCAUUCUAAGUACAUUGUUGGGAAAUGCACCUUAUCAGUUUUUUAAGUACCCCGCCAAAAGAAAUCAAGAUUAUGAACAUUAAUCUCAUGUACCAGGAAAAGAAAUCACAGUAUCGACAUCUACCUUGUCAAUAUUUAGUAGUACAUUAUGGUACAUCAUGUACCAAGGAUAAAUCAUAGUACAAGAUCGUCAAAACUUAGUACCUCGCCAUGUACCCAUGGUACAUGUUAAUCUUAUUUGCAUACAUUAGCACAUCAAAUAAGAUACCUGCCUAAAGCAUCAAGAGACAAAUACAACACAUGGAGGUACAUGACGGAUACAUGAAUAUACAUGACAAAUAUAUCAUCAAUACAAAGAAGAAAAGGAGAAGGAGAGAGAGAGAGAUUUUUACACUUUUCUUCUUGCUCUCUAUCAAUUAAAAGAAGAAACAACAAUAAAAAAACAAAGCAACAUGGCCACACCUCGUCAUGUAUCAAAAAAAAAAAAAGAAACCACCACGAGAUCCAAAAGGAAAAAAAUACAAAAUCGGGCUCCCCUCAUGGUAUCACAGAUGAUGCACAACCUCAAGCUGGAGAUUUGAGGGAGGGAAACGUCGAUUGGGAGGAGUACCAGAGAUCUCCAAUCAAGAGCGUCCUCACCUCGUCUGCUGCGGUGGGAGGGGCCGGCUCCCGCUGGGCUCACAUCACCUAUGGCUGCUGCUGCAAUGGCGGGGCUGCUAGCUACUUCAGGGGAGAGAGACGAGGCAGGAGAGAAGACUGGGGAGAGAGAGACGAGGCAGGAGAGAGGGAUGGGGUGAGAGAGAGAGGGAGAGAGAGGGGAUGGGAGAUACAGCUGUGUACGUACAUGGGUGGAUGGCAGAGGGAUUAACUUUUGGUGACAGAGAGAUUAAGUAAAGAGAGUACACGUGCUCAAAAAAUACGAUAGGGGUAGAUGCCGUUAUUGGUACCGAGAGCUUUGGCCUUUUGACCCUAGCCUCCAAUCAACAGAGUCCUCUCUUCCGUGGAGCCUAUCACGUUGCUGCUGCUACUGGGCUGGCUGCACUGGUCAGUGGUCACGUUACGUCUCUGGACCGGCCUCUCUCUGUCUCUCUUGUAGUAUCUUUUUUCUCGACACGUAAGUGUGUACGUGGUACUCGUAGUAGGACCUGGGAGUACAUCAGAGGUGGGCAAAAAUGGUGAUCGCCUCCGCACAAAAAGGUACUGCAUGCAUGGAGUAUAUAUGUACACUUACUGUGGCAAUUUCUCUGAUCAUUCAAUGUACAACAAUGUGCAAAAAAGGGAAAGAAAGUUGAACUAAAUAACUCCAUCUUAAUUAAUUAUGUAUCGAGCACAAACCUUUAAUCGGUGCAGAUGAGCAAAUUAUCCACGUGAAACGUCAGAUCUAAAACAUACAAUGCAGAUCAAAGGUGAUUCGAUCACAUGGUUAAUUUGCAAGUCUGCACCAAGUAAAAGUUUACACUAGAUACACCGACAAUGAGAAACAGAUUGUUGAAUGGUAGAUAAGCCCCCACGUCGCCCUCCUCUGGCGACACGGGGGAAACCCUAAUCGCCGCCAGUUCUAGCCCCCUCUCGCCCUUCUCCCCCACAUCGCCCGCCGCCGGAGGGGGUCCGCCGAAGCCCGUGCACGC